GGCCAUGAACCUCCUUUGGAUUUUUGAUUUACUCAACUCUUCUAUUUUCGAUUCAAAACGAAGAAAGGAUAAAAUAGAAGUUACUAACUUGAAAUCCAAUUCUAAAAGUAAAAGAUUAAAAUUAAGAAAAUAAAGUAAUAGUAAAGCAAAGUCAUAGUAAAAUACAACGAUUUUUCUAAAGUAUAUUGCAAAUUUAAGUAAUCAUUUAAGUAUCUUGUAUAAUACUCUCGCCCUAGACCCCCAUUUUCUAUUCUACCCCCAUUCCUCUAUGAUUAAUAUUCAGUUAAUUCGAACGGAGAGUUGUCUCGCGUCCCUAAGUAUUCUCUACUUACUCACCUGUGUCGAUUUUGGGUACAGGUACCCUCGUGCUCACAGUCGUUCGAGCUUUUCCUAGGAGUAUAGCAUGGGUUACUUUAGCGCCAUAGCGUCUGGUAUUCAAACAUUGGCUCGAAGCAUUUUCUCUACCCCUUCUUACCCUGAAAAAAGGGCAGGGACACCUUACGUUCUUGAACCGAUAACCAUCUUUCGGCUAACCUAGCCUCCUCCGUCCCUUGGAACCAACAAGGGGUAGUACAGGAAUAUUCACCUGUUGUCCAUCGACUACGCCUUUCGGCCUGAUCUUAGGCCCUGACUCACCCUCCGUGGAGGAACCCUUAGGUUUUUGGGGCAUUGGAUUCUCACCAAUGUUUGCGUUACUCAAGCCAACAUUUUCGCUUUCGCUUCGUCCACCACCGCUCGCGCGGAGGCUUCUCUCUAAGGCGGAAUGCUCCCCUAUAGAUGUAUUUUUACACCCCACAACUUCGGCAGAUCGCUUAGCCCUGUUCAUCUUCGGCGUAAGAGCGCUCGAUCAGUGAGCUAUUACGCACUCUUUCAAGGGUGGCUGCUUCUAGGCAAACCUCCUGGCUGUCUUCGCACCUCUACCUCCUUUAUCACUGAGCGGUCAUGUAGGGGCCUUAGCUGGUGAUCCGGGCUGUUUCCCUCUCGAUGAUGAAGUUUAUCCCUCAUUAUCUCACUUGCCGACUUUGAUCUCUCCUUUUUAAGGCCAUUCCUAGUAUUUAGAGUUUGCCUCGAUUUGGUACUGUUCUCGCGCCCCACACCGAAACAGUGCUUUACCCUUAGAUGUCCAGUCAACUACUGUGCCUCAAUGCAUUUCGAGGAGAACCAGCUAGCUCUGGGUUCGAGUGGCAUUUCACCCCUAACCACAACUCAUCCACUGAUUCUUCAACAUCAGUCGGUUCGGACCUCUACUUAGUUUCACCCAAGCUUCAUCCUGGUCAUGGAUAGAUCACCCAGGUUCGGGUCCAUAAGCAAUGACAAUUGCCUUAUGAAGACUCGCUUUCGCUACGGCUCUGGUGGGUUUCCUUAACCAAGCCACUGCCUAUGAGUCGCCGGCUUAUUCUUCAACAGGCAGGUGAUUAGAGCCCUGGCUCCGCCCACUGCUUGGGAGCUUACGGUUUCAUGUUCUAUUUCACUCCUCGAUGGGGUUCUUUUCACCCUUCCCUCACGGUACUACUUCGCUAUCGAUCACCCAGGAGUAUUUAGCCUUGCAAGGUGGUACUUGCUGAUUCACAGGAGAUUCCACGUGCCCCAUGCUACUCGGGUCAGAGUGUAAGCUAAUGACACUUUCGGCUACUGGACUUUCGCCAACUAGGGUGCAGCAUUCAGGUUGCUUCGCCUAGCAGCACGACGCAUGUAUUUUCUUCUUAAAUUCAAGUGUACCACUUAGUUUAAAUAGGUUUCUCUUUAAUUCAAGUAGAAUAUUUCAUUUUUUUUCUCUUUGAAAUAAUUAUGAAAUAAGUAGAAUUUUGUCAAUUAGAAUGUUUCUUGGCUCUUUUUCUCAAAUUCUAACUCUUCGCGAUUAAUUAUGAAUUAAGUAAAGUAUUUCUCGAGUAGAAUAUUUUGUAACGCCUCUAAAAAAUUAAUCUUGAAUUAAGCGAAAUGUUUCAUAUUUUUAUUCAAGUAAUGGAUUAAGCAAAACAUGUUGUAGCCUUUUUCUAACUCGAAUAGACUAUUUCUCAUUUGGAUAAAUAAAUAUCAAUUUUAAACAUGUAAAUAAAGAAUUUUAAUAUUUUAAAAGACAACCUUUUCGUAAAGUUAGCCACUUUUAUUUUAGUUAGUCUAAAAAAUAAUCUUUUGGUGAACCAUUCUAAAGGGAUGCUCCUAAGUGCCUUAAAAACCUUCUUAGGACGUUAAUUAAACCCUUACUCAGUAUCUCUAAUUUCAAGAAUUUAUUUCUGUCUUUUGAAUCUUUGAAAUUUCUUUAAGUUUUUCUUGAUAUUUUCUAUAAAAAUCAAAUGGCGACUCUAUAAUUUUUUUAAAAUUAUUUUGAAAUUUUCUUGAAUUUUUGAAAUAGCUUUUAGGGUCAAAACCAUCUUCUUUAAAACAAAAUUCGAAAAGGGAUAAAAUAGAAAUGACUACUCUGUUGGGGAAUUAUCUAGGUUCUAACCAAAAGAAACUUAGGCUAACAAAUAAGGUUUUAUAAAUAUAAGUUUAUUCUAUCUUAUAUGCUUUAUGUGUUAUCAUGUUUAUUUGAUAUAAACUGUUUAUUUACUAUUACUUUGUAUGAAUUAUUUGUUAUUGCUUUAUAUAAAUUGUCAUUCCGUUCAUAUUUCUUCCAUUCAAAAAACUGACACAAUCAAACGUACACGUGAGGUGUGUUUCGCGCACUUGCAAACCUCUUUCAAAUUUCAAAUUCUAAGAGAGUUGGCAUAUGCGCGGUGUGUUCGGAUCUUUUUCUGUGUGACCGCGUAGGCUUCUCACUCGAGAAUCUUGUGUCUAGUAAGCCAAAUCUUAGAAGAGCUUAAGCUCUUCUGAAUAUAGGUCAUGCAUACAUAAGCCUUAGGUGGUUUUGAUCCAAGGUGUCAUUCCGUGAAUUUAGGAAACGCCCUAAUGUCAAAUGGUUUACGACUCGAUGACAACCGCUCAUAUUUGUGCAUGUAAUAAUGAUAAACGGAUCCAAGCCUAAUUAUGAUACCAUGAGUGUAUUUAUUUUAUUGUAUUUACUUGUAGGAUGGAUUUAGUUCCCCAAGUGCCCAAGAUUAGAAUGGUCGAAGGUGUUCCACACAAUUUGAAGAUAUGGUGGGAAAACUUCGACUCGACUGAAAGAUUAGCGACCACAAGGAAAUUGGAGUUCCUCCCUACACUCUUCAAGAUCUCUCCCGACAAGCAUAUAGUUAAAGCGUUGAUUUUAUUUUGGAACCCAGAUCGAGUUGUCUUUGCAGUCAAAGACUUUGAACUUACCCCCAUAUUAGAAAAGAUCUAUUACUUCACUAAUUUGGAGUAUUAGGGGAGAGGUAGAUCAUCCCGCACAGUCAGUCGGAAAAGAAAUUCCUUUGCUAUUUAGGGAUUAAGAACACUGAUGAACUCCGCUGCUUAAAAAAUAAUUGGAUUUCUGGGAAUUAGUUGUACGAGAGAUAUGGUCGUCAAGAUGGUUAUAAGCUAUUCAAGAAGGAGUUCACUUGCACUUCUACCCGUUAGCGGGUUAGAUGUCCGAUUGCAUUUGUCGUUGCCUUGCUAGGGAGUUUGGUAUUUCCACAAGAAUAUUGAAAGAUCAAAGGCCCCAACAAUGUUGGGGCAUCAUCUUCACGUCCUCCACCAGCAUGAUCAGAAAUAGGGUCUAGGCUAAGUUUUAAGAUUGUCCUUUUUCAUGUAUUUUGAUAUUACUUCUUAUCAUUGUACUCAAUUAAUAUCCCAAUGAAACCUGGCACUUUCAUUUCCAAACUCGAAGUUUGUUUCAAAUUAAUGGCUUAGAUCAAUUUAUUAUAAUCUCAAUUACUUGAUGCUAGGUCAACCCUGGGCUCAAAAGGGUAACCGAACUAAGACGUGUGUAUUAUCUGUUGCGUAUGAUAUAACUGUCUUAUGUGAUGUAACUAUUGUAUGUACUUAUGUGUGUUGUUAAAUCAAAGGUAAAUUGAUCUACUCCUCAAGUCCUUAGAAAAUUCUUUAGGCAAAAAUAUACGUCUACUAUCUAAAGUCCAUCCAAAAUAUUCCAAGUCCCCAAGUUUCUCAAAAUCCCUCAACUAAUCUUCACUAAAUUCCUUUCUAAAAUGCAUUCCUAUUCUAUCAGGAAGAUCGGUUAUGGACUCAAGAAUUCUUACUUGUUUGAACUAUGUAUGACCUGAUUUCAACUUUGUGAGAUGCGUAGGCAGCCGUUUGGCUCGGCCUCUAUCCUUUAAAAUCAUCAUGUCUUAUCUUAUCAAAGAAAGUCAUAUGAGUCCAAAAUCAGAAGACUUGGCAAAAAUCUUGCCAACACCCAUUUAUCCAAAAAAUCAACGGACAAAGUCCUGCCCGUUAAUUUCUUUCGAGUUAAUACCUACUUGCGGAUCAAUUUGCCUACAAUGAAAGCAACUUUAUAGGUUUAUUUUAUGUCAAAUAUGUUGUAUUAUUUAUUACUAAUCGAAUCUAACAUAUUUACCUUUGGAGUUGUUUUAACAGGUAAUCAAGUAAGUAGAAAUUGAUCUAUGUUGACAAAACUGGCUGAACAUCAAUAUUUCACUAGAUCUGAGGUAAAUAAAAAUUCCUCCCUUAACCAUUGCUUGGCUGAAGAGAAAAGAAUGACUGGUACUAGUGAUGAUAAUGCUUUCACUGAAAUUACUAUUAUGGACGGUGUGAUAACGGCACAAGGAGAAAUGACCGUUGAACUAACUAGGAGAAUGGAGGAGCUUCAAGAAGAAGUACAACGAGUAAAAGAUAUGGCUAAUUUGGCCAUUGCCGCUAAUACGCCAGUCUUGGAUACUCAUACACUUCCACUCCAAUCCCCUCCUCUUAGCUCUCCUAACAACGGGAACCAACCAAAUUACAUACCCUCCGCUUCUAUACCUAAACCUCCCACUAAUCCCAUCCAUCCAUCAUGUCAAACCCAUAUCCCUGCUACCUACAAUACCAACCGAGAAAAUAAUUCAAAUGCUUAUCACCCUUAAAGCUUCACUCCAAACUAUCAAAAUACCUGUACAAAUGCCUUUACUUCCCAAAAUACCCGCCCCACUUUCAGUCCUAAUGCCAAAGUUCCUCAGAAUUCAGUCCCCACAUACCAAAACUUUGCUCACAUCGCUCAAAAUCCUCCGAUGAUCCAAAAUAUGUCUCCCGUCACUAUCCAUGCUGCUGUAACGCCUACCUCUUACCAUACAUUCCCUUAAAAUUUCAAAAUUAACCACUAUGAGGAGAUGGAGAAGGAGUGUAAGGUGCUUGAGGACAAACAUACUAGGGAGCUACUGCUGAUAAAGGAAGAGAUCAUCAGAAUGAAGAAAACACAUGGUUCGCCCAAUACAGCAGGGUUCAGUAACGACGACCUUUGCAUUCACCCUGAGUUGAACCUGCCCGAAGGAUUUAAAGUCCCUAAAUUUGAGACAUUCAAUUGUACUGGAAACCCUAUAUAUAUAUAUAUAUAUAUAUAUAUAUAUAUAUAUAUAGGACAAACAUACUAGGGAGCUACUGCUGAUAAAGGAAGAGAUCAUCAGAAUGAAGAACACACAUGGUUCGCCCAAUACAGUAUAUAUAAUAAGAUCAGUUACGUAACUCUUUCUUUUAAGAAACACAAACUUAUUUUUUUCUUAAAUUCAAGUAUACCACUUAGUUUAAAUAGGUUUCUCUUUAAUUCAAAUAGAAUAUUUCAUUUUUUUUCUCUUAGAAAUAAUUAUGAAAUAAGUAGAAUUUUCUCAAUUAGAAUGUUUCUUGACUCUUUUUCUCAAAUUCUAACUUUUCGCGAAUAAUUAUGAAUUAAGUAACGUAUUUCUUGAGUAGAAUAUUUUGUAAUGCCUCUAAAAAAUUAAUCGUGAAUUAAGCGAAAUGUUUCAUAUUUUUAUUCAAGUAAUGGAUUAAGCGAAACAUGUUGUAGCCUUUUUCUAACUCGAAUAAACUAUUUCUCGUUUGAAUAAACAAAUGUAAAUUUUAAACAUGUAAAUAAAUAAUUUUAAUAUUUUAAAAGGCAACCUUUUCGUAAAGUUAGCCACUUUUAUUUUAGUUAGUCUAAAAAAUGAUCUUUUGGUGAACUCUUCUAAAAGGACACUCCUAAGUGCCUUAAAAAUCUUCUUAGGGCGUUAAUUAAAUCCUUACUCAGUUUCUCUAAUUUCAAGGAUUUAUUUCUGUUUUUUGAAUCUUUGAAAUUCCUUUAAGUUUUUCUUGAUAUUUUCUAUAAAAAUCAAGUGACGACUCUGUAAUUUUCUUAAAAUUAUUUCCAAAUUUUCUUGAAUUUUUGAAAUAGUUUUUAGGGUCAAAACCAUCUUCUUUUAAAAUAAAAUCCGAAAGGAAUAAUCCUUUUGGCCAUAAAAUUUGACCAUAAUAGUAAUAAAUUCUAUUCACACUAUAAACUAAUUUCCUUUUGAACAUUUUUGCCCCUUUCAUCUUAAAUUUAAAAUUCUUUCAUUACUUAUUUUAUUUCUCUUUCCUAAUUCAUUGAAAACUAUCCCAAUACAUGGGAAUGGACAAAUUAACAUAAUUUUUCUAAAUAUGAAUGCAUAGUACUUAUUGCUUGAAAAGAAUAGUCUAGGAUAAAAAUAAUAAUAUAAAACUAAUUAAUUAUAUUUUCAUAUAUCUAAAAUCAAUGUGACCAAAGUAGUAUUAUUUGAAAAUUUUAAUUUAACAUUAUAUAUUUAUGUAUCAUAUCUACUUAGUUAUGCGUCUUAUCAUAUAAAUAAUUCUUUUUUUAAUCUUUAUUUUAAAUUUUAUAUAGAUAAAUAGGAGGUAUAGAUAUAUAUCUUAAAACCUAUCAAUAUUUUGAAUAUCUUUUAGUUUUUUUUUUUGUUGAAAUCUGAUUCAUAGUAUAGUAUUACAUGAAAUAAGCAAUUAUCGAAAUUUUCAACACAAAAAGUUAAUUAUUUUUUUUAUGAAUUCAAUUAUAUAAUUUUAAUUAUGCUAUAAUUUUUCUCAUGAUAAUUCAAAUGAUUUUUUUUUUCAUUUCAAAUCUUUUCUAUCUGUUUUUAGAAGUAGAGCGGAAAGAAGUCAACAUAACAUUUUAAAAUUUCGCAUAAAAAUUUUCAUAGUUGAAAGAAAAAAUUACCCUAUGUUAAUCUUACACUUAAAUUAUAUAUAAAUGAUAAGAAAAAUACAUAAAGAAAAGAAUAAAAAAUAUUUAUGAGUUAUAAAACUAAAAGUUUGCAUAGUUAAACAAUUUUUAAUAUAAUAUGAAAAUAUUUUAAUAAUAACAAUAAAAAUUUAAAACACUUUUAACGUGGUAGACAUUGACAAGUUAUAAAAAUCAUAUAGUUAAUAAGUGUCGAUUUUAAUUAACAAUAACCUAUAUGUUAUUAUGUCAAAAUUAUAGGUAGUAUUUAUUCAUUAUAUCAAAUUCUUAUAUUUGCUUUUGUAUCACCGAUUUUUUUUUUCACUUAAGAAUUGUAUAAAUAUGUAUGUACAAGUUUUCAGAGAAUGAUAGGUUUUCAGAAAAAGAUGAGUUCCCAAUCUUUAUCAUCAUAAUUUUAUUAUGUUUCUGUCUUGAAAUAAUCAAUUUUAUGUGUUUAUGUAUAUAAUGUAUAGUAACACGAAACUUUUUACUUCGUCAAAUUUCUCUGAAUUAUUUGUGUAUAGAUGCUGCCGCUUCAAAUUUCCUUUGGCAAAUCUUUGAUUCCCAAUACAAACAAUUGAUUGUUCAUUAUGUUCUAUUGAUUUUAUUGAUAUAUCAUUUAUUGUGAUGUACAAUGGAUAUUUAACAAAGAAAUCAACAACAAUUUUUUUUUAUUCAGAUAUAUCUUAACUUCUGUAUCAUUAUGUAUGAUAAUUAACAGAUAUCUAUCACUUAUUAUAUAUCUAAUUAUAAUUUGUAUUUAAAUUAUAUUUAUUUUCAGUUGAGUUGCUAUUUCAUUUAUCAAUCCCUUAAACUUUAUAUUAACAUCAUACAUAAUAUCUUCUACGUCAAAAUUUUUAGAUCUACUUAUUGAAACAAGUAUUUAUUAAGUUAUUAUACUCCCUCCUUUCCAUUUUACCCGUUCCAAAUUGGGAUGAUACAACUAUUAAGAAAACAAUGAUUGGUAAUGUAACUUUACCAUUUUGUUCCUCUUAAUUGUGUCUUGUUGUUAGUUCCAAUAUUGAUAGAUGACUAAUACCAAAACACCAUUUAUAUUUUUAAUGGUGUAUUUUUAAUGAUACUCCCCUUUGCAAUAUUUUUCAAGAAUGCUAAUAAUAAGGAGUAAUCAAUUACACUAAGGGUAUAGUGAAGAAAAAAAAUUAUCUUGUCUUAAUAAGUAAAAUAGGACAAGUAAAAUGAGACAUCAAAUUAAGAAAUUUGGGACGGAUAAAAUGGGACGGAGGGAGUAUCAAGUUAAAUAAAUGUUAUUUGAAAAUGAAAAGGCAUUUAACAAAACAAUAAACAUACACUAGUAUAACUUAAGGAACUAUUUAUGUCAACUUUUCUACACAUAGAUCCAUCUUAAAUAAUAUCAACUAGAAAACAUGUAUAAAAACGAUUUUAGUUAUUGUUUCCUCAUAUUUUGUUUGUUCUUAUUUAAAAAAUUCAAAUGUUUUGUAAUCAAUAAUAAAAAAAAUUAAAUAUUUCAAAUAACAUAAAUUGCUUGUGAUAUUCUAUCUUUUUUCAUGUUGUAUUAUGAUUGAAUGUAAAUGAUUACCAUCCAUAUUUUAGCAAAAAGUAUAGCCCUUUUAUAACUUUUUAAUUUCAAGAAUUUCAUUUUCAAAUAAAAUACUGAAAUCGAUAUUUAAUUAAAAAAUUUCAACUCAAAUACCAAAAUUAUUUGAGAUAAUUUAAUUUCAAAUAAUAUAUGUUUGUUGAUAUAUUGAAGAAAUAAGAAGGAAAAAAUGGUAGAAAAAGAAGAGGCAUAAUCAGUUUUAAAAAGAAUAAAAACGAUCCCAGAGAAAAUUUAGGGUGUGAUUGAUAUUUUUUUUUAACUGUCGUCUAUUUUAAAGAGUGAAUUCUAUAAUUUUUAAUAUGAAAUCUCUUUUUGCUUUUUCGUAGUGUGGUUUUUAUUUUUAUUAAAAAGGAAAAGUUUUUAUUAUCUUUUAUUUUAUUUUAAUAAAUUGCUAUAUGUUGCAAUUUAAAAUUUUUUUGCUAUAAAUUAAAAUAACCAAUCAAAGGUUGUAUAUCUCAAUCUAUUCCCCUAAAUUCUAACAAGGCUCGGAUCCGCUUAACGAAUGGGCGAACAACAUGCUUCUUCAGAAUGCCCUUUUAGUGCAAUGAAUUGAAAGAUAUGUCAUUUUUAGGCGCCGAACUUCCUAAUUCUCCAAAUGUACCAUUCACUUUUUUUCUCUUCCUUUUUUCUUUUUUAAAACAACAUUUAGUUACAUAAUUGGACUGAGCUUUUCGAAAAUAAAAAAAUUGAAGAUGAGUUUCAAGUCAUCUUUUUUUACUUAAAAAAUUUCAAUUUUUAAGCAUCACAUGUUUUUGUAUUUAAAAGCCUACUUAAAUAAGUUUACUUUUAAUGUGAAGGGAAUGCAUUUUUUCAGCCAACUAUGUACUGAUUAAUGCAGUAAUUAAAUAGUGCACCACCCGUUUACUAUUAACCACUUGUCAUGUGAAAGGCAUCUGGAGCUAAAAUUAAUACAGUGAAUUCAAAUAGUAAUAAAACAGUACGUCAAACAGGUGAUGAUUAUUGAGAACUAAUACUCGCUCCACACCGUAUUGAUUGUGAUAGUUUUCUUCUCGAGAGCUUAACUCCGUAAAUUUAACUAACAUCUCAAAAUAUAAUUUCACAUUAAAUUGACUUUUAAAAAAAUAUGACAACUAAUUUGAAAUGGAGGAACUAAUCCAACCCAUCUCAUGCAUAGAAUGGGUCAGUAUUUUGGAUUGAACACUUAUAUCCCUAUCGUAUGAAGUCUUAUACGCCCUCAUGUCCUCAAAAUGGAUUCGGGAGCAGUUGAGGUAUCGAUUAAUUACUUAAUUUUGUUGUCAUUUGUAUUUUAAUUAACUCUUUGUUUUUUUUUUUUUGUUUUUUUUGAUUUUCUAUGUUCUAAUACUCAAUAUUUAUUAUUGCUUGUAGCAUGGUAAAUAGGAAAAGACAGAGCUAUAUGUUUUUUAAGUCACAUAUUAUUAUUAUUAUUAUUUUUGUUGUAUACAAUGUUAUAGGUUUUGUAAUCUAAAUGGAUGCAUUGGUAUACCUUUAUUAUGGAAAAAUCCUUUUGGUCAUAAUAAUAUUAAAAAGUUCUAUUCACACUAUGAAUUGGUUUUUCUUGGACAUUUUUACCUUUUUACCUUAAAAAUUAAAUAUAUUUUUCUAUCACAAUUUCAAUAUAUUGAUUAUUGCGGAGGAGCUUAAUUACAAUUAAUUUUCAUAUUCAUUGAAAAGUGUUUGUCAAUUUCCAGCAGCCUUAAGAAUUUUAGUUAGGUAUAAACAUUUAUAAUUUCCAAUCAAACAUAUUUGAAAACAUACGGUGGAAAUUGAAAUGUAUUUUCAAACUGAUUUAAACAUAAUUUUUUACUAAUUCUAAUUCUCGAGUAAAAAAUUUCCUCUAAUUCUAAUUCUUUACUAAAAUAUUUUUCCUCCACACUUAAAUAUUUUUUCAGUGAAACAUAUUUUUAGUAUUUGAAAAUAUAUGGUGGUAAAUACGUUUACAGUAUGUCAUUUCCACACAUAUUCAUUAUUUGUUAAUUUCAGUAUAAUUUCAUAAUUUAAAAACAUAAUCAUUAUUUGUUAAUUUCAAUUUAAAUCUAUGUAGAUACGUUUUCAAAUGCAUUUAUUUAGGUAGACAUUCUUAAUUUCAGUUAGUAUAGUUUUACACCUUUUCAAGUUAAGAAAAAAAAAUUUAGAUAGAGAUUUCAAUAUUUCCGCGUGAUCUUAGUCAAUACUUAUUCUUUUAUAGUAAGAAUUUUAUUUGUGACAGUAAAAGACAAUCAGUAAUUUAGUUCGCAUUUUCUAAGUUUGAACAUAACACCCCUGACUCUAGCUAGGACUGUUCAAAAUCGAACCGAAAUUAAUAAUAUGUAAUGACAUUUUGGUUAUUGAACUAGUGGUUCGAUUUAUCGGAUUACCAAGUGUAAAGUGUGUUGAUUUGUUGUUAUCGCAAUAUUUUACAAAUUAUAUUUGAAAAUUAUAUAUAUAUAUAUAUAUAUAUUAAUUUUAUUGGAGCUUUAUAAUAAUAAAAUACUUUAUUAGAGAUCAUUUAGUAACAAAUAUAAGUAAUAAUUCACAAUUUGUCAAUUCAUCGUUAUAUAGGAGUGAAAGAGUUAUAUGAUUAACACUUAUAUCUCUCGACAGAUGGGAACUAUAUGCAUAAUUUCUAUAAGUGUCAAUGUGAUAUCUUACAAAUUAUGCAUGAGAAUAUAUAUAUAUAUAUAUAUAUAUAUUUUAAUUUUAUUUAACCAUAUACUUAAAAAAAAUAAAGAAUUAGAGUUUAUUUUAAUAACAAAUAUAAGUAAUGAUUCACAAUUUAUCAAACCGGCGUAACAUAGUGACGAAAGACUUGUACCAUCAACACUUAUGUCUCACUCUCUUUGGUUUGACACAUAUGACUAUAUGAAUGAUUUUUAUCAUGUGUCGACAUUUGCCAGUUCUAAAUUGUGAUGAGUUGUCGGUAUCGAAAUAUUUCAAAAAUUAUUUUUAUAAAUUAUUCAAAUAUGUAGUUUAAUUUUAUUUUAACAUAAUAAUGAAAAAAAAUUAAUUAGAGGUCGUUUUAGUAACAAAUAUAAGUAAUGAUUCAUAAUUUAUCAAAUUGGCGUAACAUAUAGGUGAAACACUUGUACGAUCAACACUUAUGUGUCAAUCUCUUUGGUUAGACACAUAUGAACUAUAUGCAUGAUUUUUAUAAUAUAUCGAUAUUUACCAGUUUAAAGUGUGUUGAGUUGUUGUUAUUGAAAUAUUUCACAUAUUAUGUUUAAAAAUUAUUUAAAAUAAAGUUUAAUUUUAUUUAAAUAUAAUAAUUAAAAAAAUAAUUAAUUGGAGAUUAAUUUAGUAAUAUAUAUAAGUAACGAUAUGCAAUUUAUCAAAUUGGCGUAACAUAAAAGCAAAAAACUUGUAUGAUUAACACUUAUAUCUCAUUCUCUUUUGUUAGACAGAUGUGAACUAUAUGCUUGAUUUCUAUAAGUGUCAACAUUUGUCAGGUUUAAGGUAUGUUGAAUUGUCGUUAUUGCAAUAUCUUAUAAAUUAUGACUGGAAAUCAUUUAAACAUAUAUUUUAAUUUUAUUUAAAUAUAUUACUUAAAAAAUAAAGAAUUAGAGGUCAUUUUAUUAACAAAUAUAAGUAAUGAUUCAUAAUUUAUCAAACAGGCGUAACAUACGGGCGAAAGACUUGCACCAUCAACACUUAUGUCUCACUCUCUUUGGUUCAACACAUAUGACUACAUGAAUGAUUUUUAUAAUGUGUCGACAUUCACCAGUUUUAAAGUGUGAUGAGUUGUCGUUAUUGAAAUAUUUCACAAAUUAUGCUUAAAAAUUAUUUAAAUAUAUAUCUUAAUUUUAUUUAAAUAUAAUAAUUAAAAAAUAAUUAAUUGAAGGUUAAUUUAGUAAUAUAUAUAUAUAUAUAUAUAUAUAUAUAUAUAUAUAUANNNNNNNNNNNNNNNNNNNNNNNNNNNNNNNNNNNNNNNNNNNNNNNNNNNNNNNNNNNNNNNNNNNNNNNNNNNNNNNNNNNNNNNNNNNNNNNNNNNNNNNNNNNNNNNNNNNNNNNNNNNNNNNNNNNNNNNNNNNNNNNNNNNNNNNNNNNNNNNNNNNNNNNNNNNNNNNNNNNNNNNNNNNNNNNNNNNNNNNNNNNNNNNNNNNNNNNNNNNNNNNNNNNNNNNNNNNNNNNNNNNNNNNNNNNNNNNNNNNNNNNNNNNNNNNNNNNNNNNNNNNNNNNNNNNNNNNNNNNNNNNNNNNNNNNNNNNNNNNNNNNNNNNNNNNNNNNNNNNNNNNNNNNNNNNNNNNNNNNAAAUAUAUAUGUUAAGGUUAAUUUAUAUAUAUAUAUAUAUAUAUAUAUAUAUAUAUAUAUAUAUAUAUAUAUAUAUUGAUAGAUAGAUAACGAUCAACAAUUUAUCAAAUUGGCGUAACAUAAAAGAGAAAGACUUGUAUGCUGAACACUUAUAUCUCACUCUCUUUUAUUCGACAGAUGUGAACUAUAUAUAUGAUUUCUAUAAUGUGACGACGUUUAUUAGGUCUAAUGUAUGUUGAAUUGUCGUUAUUACAAUAUCUUACAACUUAUGCCUGAAAAUUAUUUAAAUACAUAUUUUAAUUUUAUUUACACAUAAUACUUAAAAAAUAAUUAAUAGAGGCAAAAAUAAUUGAUUGAGUUGUCGUUAUUGCAAUUUCUUACAAACAUAAGUAAUGAUUCAUAAUUUAUCAAAUCGGCAUACGAUAGAGGCGAAAGACUUGUAGAUCAACAAGUAUGUCUUACUCUUUUGGUUCGACACAUAUGAACUAUAUGCAUGAUUUUAUAAUGUGUCAACAUUUACCAGUUUAAAAUGUGUCGAUUUAUCGUUAUUGAAAUAUUUCACAAAUUAUGGUUAAAAAUUAUUUUUUCUUCAUUUGUAAUCAUAUUUUCUUGAGUUAUAUUCAUAUUUUUUUGGGCACAAGGAGAGAAAGCCAGAGAAGAAUGUGAGAAAAAAAGAAUAAACGAUAUAUGUAGUGUUUGAGUUAUAGAAAAAAAAUAUGUACGUUUUUGAAGAAAGUAUACAUAUUUUUUCCAACAAAAAAUAUAUGUAUUUUUUUUCAAUUGGAAAUAUAUGUAUUAUAAUUGUAUAAGACUAUUGAUAUUCUUGCCUAAGAAUUUGUGUUGCAAUUAAAUUGUAAUAUAGGGAAUAAAAAAUCUUUAAUUAUCUUGACUUAAAAAAAAAAGAUUUAAUUUAUUUGGAAGAAAAAACUAUUAUAAUCUUUUUAUUAUUUUGGUCAAGUUAUGGCCAAACUUGUAUGGCCAUUUAGCAUCACCCAUUUAUUGUUUGUAGUGGCCACUAAUGCCCUGUCAGCCAUUGAUCUGCCACAUGUCCUGAUCUGAAUGUCCCUCAUAUUUGUACAUGUUUUUUUUGUCACUGGACAACAUUAAUAUGUUUUUUACUUAUUAAUAUCUCUUAUAUUACUUUACUACUAUAUAGAAGAGCAAGUAACAGCUCUUGGAAGCAGGUAGCUUACGGUCGACAUACCUGCUUCCAGCUAUCUACUUGUUCUGUGAUUUUACUAUAUCAUCCCUAAUUAAUUAUUAUAUGAUAUUUAAAUAUUAUAAAAUUAAUAAAAUUUAAUUUUAGAAAAGUAAAAUAGUUAUUUAUAAAUGUCCGCUUCAGCUGCUUCAAUCAUAAUUUUUCUAUAUCGACCCUAAAUAAUUAUUAUAGGUCAUUUAAGUAUUAAAAAAUUAAUAAUAUUUAAUAAAAAAAAUAAAAUAAACAUAAAAUGAUAAAUUAACUCUUGACGUUUUAAAUUAAUUUGACAUUUUAUAUGAGGCUCACUUAAAAAAAAUUACAAGUAUUUUUCAUAGCAAUUUUGCUAUAUCACUUUUAAUUAGUUAUUAUGAGUCAUUCAAGACGUGUCAGUGUAAGACUCCGCACAAUUUCAGUCAUUUUAGUCAUAUAAAGCAAGCCAAAAGAAGUAAUAGAUUUAGAAAAUUUCAAGCUAAGUAUUAACACUUAGUCUUAUUUUUGGCCUCGAUAUUUCAAUGGCUUUAUUUUCGACCAUUACGACCUUAAAAUGUCGAUUCUUAGGUUGAUUCAUGAUCAUGGAUGAACAUGCCGGUUAGAUGAACACUCCCACAGUUAGAGUUUCAGACUCAGUAUAGAACUCAGUUUAGUUCUACGGAAUCAGUACGGCCAGAAAUAGUCACCUAGUUAUCAGUAAGUCAGUUAUCAGUAAACUCAGAUAUCAGUCACUCAGUUAUUAGAACUCAAUAUUUAGCUUUAGUAUGACCUCAGAUACAAUAUAUCUAUAUGUAUAUGCACAGUAUUGCAUAAUCAGUAUUUAUAGUAGUUUCAGUUAUUCAUGUACUCCCAUUCAGUUACUUCAUGAUGUUCAUUCAAUUAGUUAUCAUCUUAUGCAUAUGAACCCAUGUAUAUCAGCCUACCUCACUUAGCAUACCAGUAUAUUCCACGUACUGACACAUACUCUUUCUUUGCGCUAUGAUGUCUCAUAUCAUAGGUUCGGGCGUUCUGGUUUCUGACCGCGCCCAGAUUCAGUUAGCAACAACAGAUUCUGUAGUGAGUCCUCAUCCAUCAAGAAUACUAUCUUUUUCAGUAUUACAACAGAUUUAGUAUUUCAUUAGUCGGAGUUAGUUGGGGGCUUGUCCCAUCAACUCCCCUUUCAGAGAGUUCAGUAGAGGUUUUUCAGACUAGACUAGUUCAGACAAUAUUCAAUUUUCAGAUGUUAUUAGAAGUUUCUAAAUUUAUCAGUUUUCAGAUUAUGAACCUUAUGGCAUUUCAGUUAUGUUUCUGCACAUGUUUGCAGUAUUAUUAUUUAGUGCUCACAGCAAGUACCAGUCAUAGGUUAGCUUAUGGUCCUUCAGGAUUGUAAGCACCGUGUGACGUCCAGGGUGUAGACUCGAGGAGUUACAGUCAGUUUUGCUACUUUAAUCGUGUUACUAUAUGUAAGUGUGAGUAGCAGUUGCUGGAAACAGACAACUGGCGGUUGUCAUGCUUGCUUUUAACUGUCUGCUUGUUCUGUAAUUUUACUAUAUCACCCCUAAUUAAUUAUUAUAUGACAAUUACGUAUUAGAAAAUUAAUAAAAUUUAAUUUUAAUAUAAAAUAAAAUAGAUAUUUAUUACAUGUCUACUUCAACUACUUCAACCAUAAUUUUACUAUAUCACCCCUAAGUAAUUAUUAUAAGUCAUCUAAGUAUUAAAAAAUUAAUAAUAUUUAAUAAAAAAAGGUAAAAUAAACAUAAAAAUGAUAAAUUAACUGUUGAUGUUUUAAAUUAAUUUGACAUCUUAUAUGAGACCCACUUAAAAAAAUUUCACAAGUAUUUUUUUAUAACAAUUUUGCUAUAUCACUUCUAAUUAAUUAUUAUGAGUCAUUCAAGACAUGCCCGUUUAGCUACUUCAAUCGUGAUAUUUUAUUGACUCUUGACAGUAUAUCAGUAUCGCUUAAAUUGAAAUAGAAAAAAAUAUUACAAAUCACAAUAAUUAAAAAAUUAAAUUGCGUUUAUAUAAAUUGACUAUCAAUAUCACAAAAGUUUGAACAAAAAGAGUAUUAUAAAUUACAAUAGCAAACAACUUAAAAUAGUAUAAAUUAUAAUGUGGAAAAAGUAUUAUAAAUUAGAAUAGUUAACAACUUAAAAAUAACACAUAUUAGGCCCACGGGUCUUCCGUGCCUAGUCCUACUAUAAUUCACUAGUUUCUAAGUAUUUGUCGUCUUCAAGUGCCUCUUUAAUUUUAAGAUAAACAAAUUAAUUGAAUGUUAAUACAACUCUAAUAAAUAUAAGUUGUAUGCAUUAGAUAAAUUCAGUGUGACGAGCUCGACAUGAGGAAGUGUUUCUUUUAUUUAUGAUCAAACAUUAAUAAAAAAAAAUUAUCUAACAUUAAUAAAAGAAUUUUUACUUCUUAAUAACUUUUAUAUCCUAUCAUUGUUGGGUUCAAGUUAAAAGUGUAAAUGGAAAAUGGAGGAAAUUAGUGGAGGGAAAAAUGAGAUCACACUUAAAAAUAAAAGUGUACUAAAAAAUAAGGAAAGUCUACUAAUACUCUCACAUUGUUGGGAGAAAGAAACUUUCAUGUGUUUAUAUUAAGAAACACAUCUCCACAUGGAUAGUGAGGCAAGAAAAAAGAGGUGCCUCAAGCCAUUGUCGUCAUCGUUCGUUUGGCUCGGCUCGGCUUUGGCUAUGAUCGAUCGAUGAGAUUAAUUUGAAACUUGAAAAAAAUUUAGUUUGAAAAUCCAAGAAAAAUGCAACCAUUUUUCUCCAUUAACGUGUGCAUGCAGAAUCACUGAAAGGUUGCUCGGAAGGGACACAACUCUUCGAGUAAAAGACACAAUGUUUUGGGAAAAAGGAUGACUGUUGUAAGACCCUAUAAAAUUGCUAAUCUUAUUCAGUUCUAUAUAGCAUGUAAAAGGGGGGGGGGUCCCAGACUUAGAAAUUUCAGCUGUGUGUUUAUACUUAGAAUUAUUUUUUUGCCUUCAUACUUAGAUGAUCUUAUUUUUGAUCUUGACGACCUUAGAAUAUCGAUUUAUAAGUUGAUUCAUGAUCAGGGAUAUUAAUAGGUCACCUUAGGUGAGUUUCAGAUUUUUUGGAUGUCGUUAGAAACUUGUUUGGAUGUCUAAGGCAGUGAGUCAAUGCGAUCUCAACGCGUCACGUUGUCCAUCGCGUCGAUAGUAUCAUUACUAGCAUCAAGCGUGAAAUUUCCAGUGAGCAGAUAUAAUCUCGACACAUCGCGUUGACCCCAUCAAUGCACCGCGCCGGUUGCCACAUCAUUGGGUAGUUUUUGCUCAUUUGAAAAUCCGCAUCCAGAGGGGUAUUUAAGUUAAUUUCCCCACUUUUAUUCAGUACUAAAAUAUGAAAUUAAGCUAUCCUAAGGGCAAAAUCACUCUCUCUCUCUCUCUUAAAUUCUCUUAAGAAUAAAACCCUAGGUCAUUUAAUUUUAAGUCCAAGCUUUAAGAACACACCAAUAAUUUUCACAAAUUUAAUUACCAAGGUAUGUUAUGUGUUCAUCGGUGGGUUUCCUUCUACCCUUGGAGUUCAAGAACCCUUUUUAAACUACAAGUUUAUUGAUUUCAUGAUUUACAUAUUUGAAUUGGAUUAUGUUCAUGUAUGUAUUGAUGUUUGAUUUUCAAAUCAAUAUUCAUUAUAAGUUUCAAUUGAAUUAAUUAGAAUGUAUGUAGAAUUAUGUGAUUCUCAUGUUAAACCCUUGAAUUUGCAAGUUGAAUAUUGUAGCCAUGACGUUUAUAUCUUGAUGAUUAUUAUGUGCACUAAUUAUGCUCCCCAAGUGUUUGAUAGAGUGCCUAUGUGAAUUGAAGAGUGAAUUCAUGACGUGUUAUCAUGUGGUCCCAUUCAUGUACAAGUUUAUGCCUCUCAAGUGUUUGACAAAAUGUCUAAAUGAGUGCAUAGUGAACAAGUAAUUAAUGUAAUGCUUUCAAGAUUUUGCCAUGUUUUAAUGUUGAUGCUAUCGAGUCCUGGGGCUAUUCAAUACCCAAAAACCUAGCUAUUUACCUAGAAUUACAGUAGCUACAGAAUAGUCUCAGUAUUGUCACAAAAAGUAGUACUCAGACAGUUAUAGAACUCAGUGAACUUAGUCCAGUUCAGUCAGUCAACACGAUCAGUAACAGUUUAGCCAAGCCUAGUACAGUCUAGUGAUCAGUUCAGUGUCUAUUCAGUUAGGAGUAGGAUUCAACACCGAGCAAACCUGGGGAUGGAGGCUCACCUGCCAGUUGAGGGUGUGACCUUUAGUAGCAGUCCCUUAGUUCAAGAACUACGUAGCCAACGUAAGUUAAAUAUAUCAACCUUUCAGUUGAGGAUUGAUAAAGUGUUCACCUGCCAAUUUAGGAUAACACAUAUCUCACUUACCAGAUGAGGGUGAUUCUUUAGUGGAUCCACAUAGCCAUUGUUAGUACCCAUGGCACGGUGCUAACACCCUUCCAACUGGGGUCAUAGGUUGGACCCCAACUCAGUUUAUAAUUGGGGUAUGUCAGUUAGAUGAACACUCCCACAGUUUCAGUUUCAGACUCAGUAUAGAACGUAUUUUAGUUCUAUAAAAUUGAGACUGUUAGAAACAGUCACCCAGUUAUAGUAAUAUAGUUAUCAGUAAUCUCAGAUAUCUAUCACUCAGUUAGUACCCAUGGCACGGUGCUAACACCCUUCCAACUGGGGUCAUAGGUUGGACCCCAACUCAGUUUAUAAUUGGGGUAUGUCAGUUAGAUGAACACUCCCACAGUUUCAGUUUCAGACUCAGUAUAGAACGUAUUUUAGUUCUAUAAAAUUGAGACUGUUAGAAACAGUCACCCAGUUAUAGUAAUAUAGUUAUCAGUAAUCUCAGAUAUCUAUCACUCAGUUAUCAGAACUCAGUAUUUAGUUUCAGUAUGAUCUCAGAUACAAUAUAUAUAUAUAUAUAUAUAUGUAUGUAUGUAUAUGCAUAGUAUUGCAUAAUCAGCAUUUACAACAAUUUUAGUUAUUUCUGUACUCUCAUUUAGUUGUUUCAUGAUGUUCAUUUAGUUAGUUAUCAACUUAUGCAUAUGAACCCAUGUAUAUCAGCCUACCUCACUUAGCAUACCAGUACAUUCAAAGUACUGACUCACAUACUUUCUUUUAUGCUAUGAUGUCUUAUAUCAUAAGUUCAGAUGCAUAGGCUCCUGACCAUACUUAGCAGAUGAUACGGGUCAAAGAGGUAUCUUAGCACUCGAGGACAUGAAGAUAUGAGUGAAGAAUCGAGCUUGUGGGGCUUCCCAUCCAAGGAACAAUCUUUGAAGUGUUAAUAACAAGUCCCAACACUCUAAAACCGUCCAAAGAGUACACUACAAGGCCGCCCCUUUGUAUGGGCUUAUUAAGGACCUUUUGGUCAUUUUUGUAAUAAGUGUUGCCCUAGUCUAUAAAUCAAACGUUUAGGUCAUUUUUUCAUUUAUAACUUUGAUGAUAUAUCUUGUAAACUCAUUGAGAGUGUUUGGCAAGGUGGAAUCCUUGUAUUGUUAACUUGCUUAGAGACGGUGGUUGCUUGAGAGUUCUGAUUCCCUUGAGGUCUCCGUAAGAGUGUAGGUGUCUUGUAUUCAUGUUUUUUGUGUUUUGAUGUUUAAUAUACAUCUUAGUGCCUAUAACCUGUAGUACAUCAUGUCUCACUAUCUAUCCUCUUAGUUAUAGUCAUCUUAUUUUCCAUUUUGUGUUGCUUGUUCAUCUCGUGAUAGUGCACUAUUUUUUGCCAUUUUGUGAGCUGUUUUAUCACUUGAUAGGUCAUUCUUGUAUCAUUUGGUAUCAAAGACAUCAUUGAUUUCGUUCCUAAGAGAUCAAUCUUGUGCUUGUUCACUCAAAAAAAAUAAAAAAAAAGGUGUUGAAAAUCUGAAAAACUCAAAAAUAGUAAUCUGUCCACGUUUUUGUGCUUAGGCUGAUAUUUGAAGCCUAGUUUUCUUGUUAUUUUUGUGUGUUUUGCGUGUUAUAGUGUUAUAUAUUUGUUUCCUAACAUUAUAAGAGGUGUUCAAGGUCGAAAAUCUCACAAAAAGAAGUUAUGCUAAGGGUUAAGUGUCUUGGCCGAAGUGGUGUUGUUGUUUGGCCGAAUUUGUGUCUAGAUUUAGGUGUUGUUUUGAUUGUAUUUGUUGUUUGUUGUGUUGGUUUUAUUUAUCUAUAACACUACUUGAGGCUAACCCAAGUUCUUGAUCCAAAAAAAAAAUUACUAGUUGUUGAGGGAAGAGUGGAUGGUUUUGUUGUUGUUAUUGUUGCAGUUCUUGUGUCGUGUUGAAGAAGUCUUGUAAAAGGUUGUUGUUUGAUUCAAAUUCAAAGGGAAGAGAGUGUGAGUUAUUUUUUGUCUUGAAACAACUUUCAAUACAUUACGAAAAGGGAAAAAGAACAAAAGGCCUCCCAAAAGUCUUCAUACCAAAAGGGAGUAAAUUCAUUUUUCUAGACAAGCUAAAAGAGGAAAGAGGGACAAGACCUCCAAAAGGUUGUCUUGCCAUUUUGAUGCAAGUAGUUGGAAGACUUUAUGAGUCUUAAAAGUGGAGUCUAGACCUUGUUUUUCCCAUACCUUGGCCGAAAUUCUCCUCAUCCAUACAUGAAAUUGAACAACUAGUUUCUUGAAACAAAAAAUUUUCAACUUCAACCUUAUUCCAACGUCAAUAGUUAAGUGUCACGUCAUCAAAGAGCUCAAGAACAUUGGAUAUUCUAGUUUCACUUUAUUGUUUCCAUUAGUUUCAAUUUUGUAGAUUCUCAUGCUAAUUAUCAACCUAGUAAAUACCUACUAGGUUGUAGAUUAGUUUUUAGUACAUUUUCUUUCGUGUUAAGCAUUGUAUUGUGUGUUUUUCUCGUUUUUAAGUUGUAGUAUUUUCUUAUGUCCAAGUUCGAACAUCAUUUCUUGAGUUGUUUCAAACAAGAAUCUACUCCUACCUCGAGCCAGAAUUGGACUAAGUAACCUCAUUAGAGUAUAAGCGAGUUAUCAACACUUGUGAGGCCAAUAGAGUGAAUACUUUAAAAGUGUGAGCUUGAGAGAUUGAUGACUAUUUUGAGAAAAAUUAUGGACUGAUUUUUGCUAACCUUUAAUGUGUUUGAUUUUUUUGUGUUGUUUGUUUAGUAUUGUUUGAUAGGUAUAAUGGCGGAUGAAGGUGAAAUGCCUAGUUGGUUUAAAUCCAUCAUGGCAAAGCUUGAUGUCAUGGAUAGUCGUUUGGGAUCUUUUGAAGAGAAAAUAGAGAGAAUGAAAGGACGAAUAGAAAGAAUGAAAAGACUAGUGGAUAGAAUGGAAGGACGAAUAUAAAGGACGGAGAUCUCUAUUUGCAAGAAUUUGGAUAACUUGAUAGAGCAUCCAAGCUUUCCUAAUCCAAUUCCCGUGAGUGGCCAAGGUCCAUAUGAGCUACUAGGUUCAAAUUCAAGGAUGAAUCCUUUCUAAGGAGAGGAGGAUAAUACGGGUCAAAGAGGCAUCUUAGCACUCAAGGACAUGAAGACGUGAGUGAAGACCUGAGCUUGUGGGGCUUCCCAUAUAAGGAACAAGCUUUGAAGUGUUGAAAUAAGUCCCAACACUCCAAAACCGUCCAAAGAGUACACUACAAGGCUGCCCCUUUGUAUGGGCUCAUUAAGUACCUUUUGGUCAUUUUUAUAAUAAGUGUUGCCCUAGUCUAUAAAUAGAACAUUUAGGUCAUUUUUUUAUUUAGAACUUUGAUGAUAUAUCUUGUAAACUCAUUGAGAGUAUUUGGCAAGGUAGAAUCCUUGUAUUGUUAACUUGCGUAGAGACGGUGGUUACUUGAGAGUUCUGAUUCCCUUGAGGUCUCCGUAAGAGUGUAUGUGUCUUCUAUUCAUGUUGUUUGUGUUUUGAUGUUUAAUAUACAUCUUAGUGCCUAUAACGUGUAGUACAUUAUGUCUCACUAUCUAUCCUCUUAGUUAUAGUCAUCUUAUUUUCCAUUUUGUGUUGCUUGUUCAUCUCGUGAUAGUGGACUAUUUUGUGCCAUUUUGUGAGCUGUUUUAUCACUUCAUAGGUCGUUCUUGUAUCAUUAAUGAUAACAGAAUCAACCCACAACACAGAAACAAGACUCAAAAAACAAGAGGAAACCGAGAGCACCACAACACACUCUCUCGGCCACAAGUCACAAACCGAGAAUACAACACAAUGCAAGAUGAACAAGGUGUAAUCACACCAAAACAACAACAACUACAACAACAAAAUGAAGAACAACACAAGGCUAAAAAGAACCAAACAGUUUUCACUAAACAAGAAAGAAACACUAAAAAUGAAUACAAGAAGAUAAAGAUAGGUAGUGAGACAUCAACUCUUACAAGAACUAAGAACCUAAGUGUAUGUUAAAAACUAAGACCCUUAAUACAUGUAAAAGUAACACCAACACUCUUAAAAUGACACAAGAGGGCGUAAACCACUCAAUCACCAAGGUUUCUAACAAUGUUUUGCAAUACGAGUGAUUCCACACUAGCAUCACCCUCAUUUCGGUUUUGGUGGCUUUUCCAAGACCUACAACUAAGGUGUUACACUCUCCAUGAGAGAAGAAUGGUGUUAUAAGUUAUGUCUUACAAUCUCAUUUAACAACUAAAGAAAUAAAUACCUAAUACUAACCUAUUUAUAGACUUAUUACAACAUAGUGAAAUGUCCAAAAAGCCCUUAAUGAAGGGAAGACAAAAGACGCCUAUGGAGUGUAGUCCAAGUGUAGUGUAUGGACGAUUUUUGGUGCAUAAUUAGGUCCUCCUUGUCUCUUCAAUUGCACACACCAAGUCUCGGGCCCAAUGUGCACUCUUAUAAGCCUAUAUCCGUGAUUAUUCUUGAAUCAUCUUCUCCAUCUUGAGAGGAAUUUUCCCACAAAUUCAUGGCUUCACUUCGUGCAAUUGGACACUUCAAAUAAAUCACUCAAAAUAGUCCACAAAAUAUGAAUAUGGCACAAAAUAGUCCGCAAAACACAUGAGGAGGCCGAGGGCUCAAUAAUGCAAGUCUCGGCCAACAUCUUCAUUUUGAACCUCGGCUUACUCUCCAUCUUGAGCCUUGUCUUCAAUCUCGUCUAAAACAUAUCCCAACUUCUUUCUUGGUGGCGGGAUCCUUGUGGUUCCCUACGUCUUUCCCUCAACUUCCUUUCUAUCAUAUAAGCAUCAUUAUAGACUCGAUGUCCCUCAUGUUAUUUUCUACCAUACUCUUUUAUAUGGACAUAUCGGUUUUGAGGAAGUGGAGGUUUGGUUGAGAGGAUUGUUUUGGUUAUGUGGAGCUUCGGUUGUAUAGCUUGGAUGGGAGGAAAUUGGAUUCCAAGUCCCUCUUGUUGGACUUGAUCAAAUUGAGAGGGAAGUGACCUAUUUAGGUCUCGGGUUAGAGGGAAUUCGGUGGCUUGGCUUAUGUCUAUGUCAGUUAGUGGUGGUUCUUGAGGAUUGAUCGUUUGAGGUAAGGUUUUGGGAGUGGAAACAUGAGAGUUCCUUCGACUCUCCACUUGUUCCAACAUCUCAAGUAUAGUAGACAUAUUCGAGCUAAUUUUUUCAAGGCCUGUAUUUACCUUAGCCUUGUCUUGGGAAAUAGCAUCAAGGUGGGCCAAAAUAGCUUUAAUUAUGGCCAAGAAGUUACCUACAAAAUAGAAAACAAGUUACUUGUACAAAGGGGUGAUGUGGCAGCCUUUGAUUGGUUGCAGAUAAUGACGUGGCAGCCUUCGAAUGAUUGUGGAAAUCUAAUUUUUUUUCUUAUCUUCAAUUUGGAUUUGUCAAUUCAAUUUGGAUGAGAGGAGUUUCGGAGCCUUUUCAAAUUCAAAAGGGAUUUGACUUUCCUUGCACCCUUUUGGCAAAACACCUUUUUGAAAGGUUUUUGGCUCUUUCCUCUUUUGUUAGUCUUGGAAAGUGCCCUUUCUCCCUUUUGGUAACAAGACUUUUUGAAAGUCUUUUAGUUGUUUUACUUUCUUGCAAGAGUCUUGGAAUAAGUUUCAAGACUAACAAGACCACACUAUUUCUUCACUCACUUAGAUUAAACAACCAACUCUGAAGACUUUUUCUUUAACAAAAUAUGAAGAUGGUGAAGGACACCAAAAACACACUUUUGAAUCUUGGAGUCCUAACGUUCAAGUUGAACAUACCAAAAAAUAACAACACCUUUUCAAUCUUAAAUCCAUAAAACAAUAUCCACAAUACACGUUCAAAUCUUGAACCAACAACACACCACACUUCUAAGAACAAUAAGAACUUCAACGACUCUAGUCAGCCACAACCUUCAACAACAAUCUUGUCAAGAGCUUAAAUCUUGGACUUUGACUCAACAAGUGUUAGUGAACAAGAAACUAACACAACAAACGACUAAUACAAACAAAAAAAACCUAUAUCUAAACACUAUCCUCAGCCAAACACAACAACAACAAAGACAUUUCGGCCAAGAACAAGAACACUUCAACUAUUUUUUUUUUUCGACUAAGAGAGCCCAAGAUUGGUAGUGUAUGAACACAACCAGCCUUGAUUUUAUACGAAAUGAUAAUGGAAUCAAUCCAUAACACGAAAACAAGACUCAAAACACAAGAGGAAACUAAGAGCACCACAACACACUCUCUCGGCCGCAAGUCACAAACUGAGAAUACAACACAAUGACAAGAUGAACAAGGUGUAAUCACACCAAAACAAGAAAAACUACAACAAGAUGAAAAACAGCACAAGGAUAAAAAGAACCAAACAGUUUUCCUAAACAAGAAAGAAACACUACAAAUGAAUACAAGAAGAUAAAGAUAGGUAGUGAGACAUCAAAUCUUACAAGAACUAAGAACCUAAGUGUAUGUUAAACACUAAAACCCUUAAUACAUGUAAAAGUAACAACAACACUCUUAUAAUAUCACACGAGGGCACUAACCACUCAAGCACCAAGGUUUCUAACAAUGUUUUGCAAUACUAGUGAUUCCAUACUAGCAUCACCCUCAUUUCAGUUUUGGUGGCUUUUCCAAGCCCUACAAAUAAGGUGUUACACUCUCUAUGAGAGAAGAAUGGUGUUAUACGUUAUGUCUUACAAUCUUAUUUAAUAACUACAGAAAUAAAGACCUAAUACUAGCCUAUUUAUAGACUUAUUACAACAUAAGUAAAAUGUCCAAAAAGCCCUUAAUGAAGGGAAGACAAAAGACGCCUAUGGAGUGUAGUCUAAGUGUAGUGUAUGGACGAUUUUUGGUGCAUAAUUAGGUCCUCUUUGUAUCUUCAAUUGCACACACCAAGUCUCGGGUCCAACGCACACUCUCAUAAGCCCAGAUUCAUGAUUAUUCUUAUAUCAGCAGAUCAGGUUAUCAACAAUAGUUGUAGUGAUGGGUCCUCAUAUUCCAAGGAUAGAGUUAUUAUUUUAGCAUUUUAGUAGUUUAAUAUAUUCAGUAGUCGGAGUUAGUUGGGGACUUAUCCCAUCAACUCCCUAUUCAGACAGUUAGAGGCUUUCAUUCUAGGCUAAUUUAGAAAGAUAUUCAGUUUUUUAGUAUUUCUAUCAGUAUUCUGUAUCUAUUUCAAUAUUUUGAGAACCUUAUGGCAUUUCAGUUAUAUUUUUGAGUAUGUUUUUAGUAUUAUUAUUCAGUGCUCAUAGCAGGUACCAGUCAUGGGCCAGCUUGUACUACUUUGGGAUUGUAAAUACUGUAUGACAUCUAGGGUGUAGACUCGGGAAGUUACAAACUUGGUAUCAGAGCCUAAUGUUCAACAGAGUCCUAGGGAGUCCGAAAUCCAUGUCAAGUAGAGUCUUGUGCAUGGGUGUGUAGCGCACCACACUUAUGGACAAGAGGCUAUGAGGUGUUUUUAGGAAAAGUUUUCCUUCUUUCAGUAUUUAUGUCAUGUGAGUAAGCAUAAGAUCAAGUUAAACUCUCUAUAUAAUCCAUGUUUUGCUUUCAUUUAUAGAAUAUACCUCCCAAAAAAACUAAUGAAAGAAGAACUGGAAACCAGCCAGCACCUCCGUCCAUUUAGGCAGAUCCCCUAGAUGAGCAUGUUUCUCACGCAAAAUUUAGAGCAGCUUUUACCACUCUAGCUCAUUUUGUGGAAGCCCAGAAUGAAUGCCCAACUAGUGUUAAGGCCAACCCAAUAGCCAAUACCGUUGUAGCUAGAAUUCAAGACUUCACUCGAAUGAACCUUCUUUUAUUUUUAAGGUCUAAGUCUGAAGAGGACCUAGAUGAAUUCUUUGACAUGGUGUAGAAGGUCACAAAUAUUAUGGGGGUAAUUGCUAGUGAGAGUGCUGAGUUAGUUGCAUAUCAAUUGCAUGAUGUGGCUCAUACAUACUUUAAGCAAUGGAAGGCAGAUAGGGCCAUAGAUGCAGGGCCUAUAGAAUAGGAGGAGUUUGUUACUGCCUUUCUAUAUAGAUUCUUCCCAUUAGAGUUGAGGGAAGAUAAAGUGUUAAAAUUUAAUAACUAGAAAUAGGGCAACAUGACAGUGAAAGAGUACUCUCUGAAGUUUACUCAACUAGCCAGAUAUACUCCUCAUGUGGUAGCUGAUAGCAGAUCUAGGAUGAGUAAGUUUAUAUCUGGGGUAUCCAACAGUAUGGUCAAGGAGUGUAGGACCACAAUACUGAUCAAGAAGAUGGACUUAGAUAGAUUGAUGGUCCAUGCUUAGAAGAUAGAAGAGAAGAAGACUAAAGAGAAAGAGAGGGAUAAAAAGAGAGUUAGGACAGGUAGCUUCAACUUUACUCAGCAUAAGUUAGAGGAUGGGAAUCGUCCUUAAUUUUACCAAAAAUCUUCAGUUCCAUCUUCAUACUCAGCCAGUGCUGCAGUGCCUAAGUUCAAAAAUGGUAAUAAAGAUAGGGAACCAGGCUCUAAAUUUUAGGGUAGUGUUAGCAAUACUCGAAUAAUUUCUCUUAGCCAGAAGUGUGGCAAAAACCAUUAGGGUAUUUGUCGAGCUGGCAGUGAUGUGUGUUUCGAGUGCAGUAAGCCAGGUCAUAGAAUUAGAGAUCAUCCCUAGUCAGGUUCAGGGUUCAUACAAUCAUCCCCCAGCUCAGUCCGAUUGCCCAUCUCAGCAGGAUGUCGCUUCUAGUACCACCAGUGGGCAACACCUAAACAGGCUCUAUGUACUUUAGUCCCGACAGGAUCAGGAAAGUUCCCCUGAUGUGGUCACUGGUACAUGAAAAGUCUAUUAUUUACAUAUUUAUGCUUUGCCAGAUCCAGGAGCUUCUUUGUCCUUUGUAACCCUUUAUAUAGCUGUUGACUUCGGAGUUAGUAUCGAAAUUAAAGUAGAGCCCUUCUUAGUGUCUACCCUAGUGGGUAAGUCUAUCAUAACUCGGCGGGUAUACAAGAACUAUCUAGUUAUUGUAUCUCAAAAAGUUACUUCAUUAGACUUAGUAGAGUUAGAGAUGACAGAUUUUGAUGUCAUUCUCGGCAUAGAUUGACUUCAUUUAUGCUAUACUUCAGUUGACUGUAGAAACAGAGUUGUCUAUUUUUAGUUUCCAAAUGAACCUAUCCUAGAAUAGAGGGGUAAUACUUCAGCACUUAGGGGUCAGCUUGUUUCCUAUCUUCAACACUUAGGGGUCAGCUUGUUUUCUAUCUUAGAGCGAGAAAAAUGAUAUACAAGGGGUGUGUCUAUCAUCUCAUUCGAGUUAAAUACUCUAGUUUUGAAACCUUUAACCUUGAGUCAGUUUCAAUAGCAUGUGAAUUUCUAUAUGUGUUUCUCGAAGAUCUUUUUGAAGUUCCUCUCGGGAGGGAAAUUAACUUCGAAAUAGAACUUCUUCUAGAUACUCAGCCUAUCUCUAUUCUGCCAUACAUAAUAGCUCCAAUUGAACUUAAAGAACUAAAAGAGCUAUUGAAGGAUCUACUAGAUAAGGGAUUCAUCAGGCCCAGUAUUUUCCCGCUGGGCUCACCAGUUCUAUUUAUGCAUAAAAAGAUGAUUCUUUCAAAAUGUAUAUUGAUUACCGUCAGUUGAACAAAGUCACAGUCAAAAACAAGUAUCCACUUCCCAGAAUUGAUGACUUAUCUGACCAACUUCAGAGUGUCAAUUACUUUUCUAAGAUAGACCUUAGAUCAGUCUAUCAUCAACUCAGAGUCAGAGAAUGUGACAUUCUUAAAAUAACUUUUAAAACUUGAUAUGAUCACUUUGAAUUUCUAGUUAUGUCGUUUGGUCUUACCAAUGCCCCAACAGCUUUUAUAGACUUGAUGAACAGAGAGUUCAAGCAUUACUUAGACAUGUUUGUCAUAGUCUUCAAUAUGACAUUCUUGUCUACUCCCACAACGGAUAUGAUUAUGCAGACCACCUCAAAAUAGUAUUAUAGACCCUCAAAGCCCAUCAGUAAAUAUGAAUUUUGGCUAAGGUCAGUGGAUUUCCUUGGUUAUAAAGUUUUCAGUGAUGGCAUUAGAGUUGAUCCUCAAAAGACUAAAACAGUGAGAAACUGGCCUAGACCCAUAUCUUCGUUAGAUAUCAGGAGUUUCUUGGGUUUGGCUGCUAUUACCGAUGGGUUUUUGAAGGAUUUUCAUCUAUUGUAUUCCCUAUGUCCAGAUUAACUAACAACAAAGUCAAGUUUCAGUGGUCAGAUUCUUGUGAGAAGAGUUUUCAGGAGUUGAAGAGUCGACUCAUUACAACCCCAAUUUUGACUUUAUCAGAUGGUUCAGACGGGUUUGUUAUGUAUUGUGAUGCUUCUAGAGUUGGUUUGGUAUGUGUUUUGAUGCAUAGAGGUAAGAUUAUAGCCUAUGCCUCUAGACAACUUAAGCCCCAUAAAAAGAAUUACCCCACCCAUGAUCUUGAGUUAGCAUCUGUAGUAUUUGCCUUAAAGAUUUGGAGGCACUAUUUGUAUAGGGUACAUGUUGAUGUAUUCACAGACCACAAAAGUUUGCAGUAUGUAUUUUCUCAUAAAGACUUGAACUUAUGUCAUAGAAGGUGGUUAGAGUUAUUAAAAUACUAUGACAUGAGUGUUCUGUAUCAUCUGGGAAAGGCCAGUGUAGUGGUGAUGCUCUCAGUAGAUUGUCCAUGAGUAGUGUUGCUCACGGUAAGGAUGGUAAGAAGAAGUUAGUUCAGAAAGUUCAUCAGCUUGCCAGGUUGGGUUUUUGUUUUGUUGAUUCAGCUGAGGGUAGUGUUUAGGUGUAGAAUAGUUCAGAAUCAUCUUUGGUUUCUGAAGUAAAAGAAAAGCAGGACAGGGAUCCCAGUUUAGUUAAGCUGAAAGAGUCAGUCAGAGACCAAAAAAUAGAGAUUUUCUCCCAAGGGGGAGAUAGUCUGUUGUAUUGCUAGGGUAGACUAUGUGUACCAUAUGUGGAUGGCGUGAGGUAACAGAUUCUUGCAGAAGCACAUGGUGUGCGUCACUCUAUUCACCCAGGGGCUACUAAGAUGUACUGCAAUUUAUGGGAGGUCUAUUGGUGGAGUGAGAUGAAGAGAGACAUUGCAGAGUUUGUGGCUAAGUUCUCUACAUGUUAGCAGGUUAAGAUUGAGCAUUAAAAGCCUAGUGGGUCUAUGCAGAAGUUCAGUAUUCCCACUUAGAAGUGGGAGGAAGUAAACAUGGACUUUGUGAUGGGUUUGCCUCGUACUCGUCAUUAGAAUGAUUUGAUUUGGGUCAUUGUAGACAGGAUAGCCAAAUAAGCCUAUUUCUUACCAGUUCAUACUUUCUAUUCAGCCUAGGAUUAUGCCAAGCUCUAUGUUAGAGAGUUGGUCAGAUUGCACGGUGUCCCAUUGUCUAUUAUUUCAGAUAGAGGUACACAGUUCAUCUCUCACUUUUGGAAAGCCUUCCAGUAGGGUCUUAGUACCCAAGUUCACCUCAUUAUAGCCUUUCACUCUCAGACAGAUGCUCAAGAAGAAAGGACCAUUCAGACUCUAGAAGAUAUGUUAAGAGCAUGUGUCAGUAACUUUAAGGGUAGUUGGGAUGACCACUUGCCUUUGAUUGAGUUCGCGUAUAAUAACAACUAUCAUUCUAGUAUUCAGAUGGCUUCAUUUGAGGCACUUUAUAGGAGGAGAUGUAGGUAUCGCAUUGAUUGGUUUGAGGUAGGCGAGACUGCGUUAGCAGGGCUUGACUUAGUAUUUGAUGCCUUAGAGAAGGUUCAGUUGAUCAGGAAGAGGCUUAAGAUAGCCCAAAGCCAACAAAAAUCAUAUGCAGAUGUGAGAAGAAAAGAUCUCAAAUUUGAGAUUGGCGAUUUUAUGUACUUAAAAAUCUCUCCCAUGAAGGAAGUGAAGAGAUUUAGCAAAAAUGGAAACCUCAGUCCCCGAUAUAUCGGUCUGUACAUAAUUCUCAGCCGUUUUGGAAAGGUAGCUUACGAACUUGAGUUGCCUUCAGACUUAGCUUCAGUACACCAGUGUUUCAUGUCUCCUUGCUAAAGAAAUGCAUUGGUGACCCAACAGUUGUAAUCCUUAUAGAGAGUAUAGAUGUUCAGAACAUUAUCUCUUAUGAGGAAGUCCCAAUUGAAAUCCUUAAUCAUCAUAUUCGCAGACUGAGGAACAAAGAAGUUCCUUUGGUCAAAGUUCUUUGGCAAAAUUAGUACGUUGGGGGAGCUACCUGGUAAGCAGAAGCAUACAUACGGACCAAGUAUCCUCACCUCUUCUCUGCAAACUCAGACUCAACUCAAGGUAAUAGGCUUCCUUAUAUUUACUCAGUUCCACGACCAAAUUUUCUUUGCAAACCUGGUAUCAAUUUGUAAGACUCUACAAAAUCCUAAGCUUAAUUCACUCCCUUAAAGCUUAUUAAGGGGUCCUAGACUUAGAAAAUUUUAGCCAAGUAUUCAUACUUAAAGUAUUUUAGCCUUCGUAAGUUGGCGAUCCUUUUUGACUACCUUUAUGACCUUUAAGUAUCGAUUUUUUUGAUUGAUUCAUGAUCAGGAAUGUCAGCAGGUCACUUCAGGUGAGUUUUGGAUUUUUUGGACCUCGUUUGAACCAUGUUUGGGAAUCCAAAAUAGUGUAUCGACGCGAUCUCGACGCGUUGCAUCGCCCAUCAUGUCGAUCAAUAUUUUUCCCCAACUCCCACUGGCAAUUUCCAGUGAACCGAUGUGUUGGCCAUCGUGUCGAUCCCAUCGAUGUGACAUGUCUAUCUGUGCCUCACUAAGUCAGUUUUCAGUCAUUAAAAUUCCACAUCCCUAGGGGUAUUUGGGUUUUUUUUCCACAACUAUUCAUCCCCUAAAACACAAAAUUCAGCCCUCACAAAGCAAAAUUGCACUCUUUUCUCUCAAAAUCACUCAAGAACAAACCCGAGGACUUUCAAUUAAAGAUUCAAAUCCCAAGGAUUUCACCACUAAUCUUCAAAAAUUCAAGCAUUAAGGUAUGUCAAGUGUUCAUCCAAGGGUUUCCAUCCACCCUUGGAGUUCAAGAAACCCUUUUUAACUAUAAAUUAAUGAGUUUGAUGAAUUUCAUGAUGGUAUUUGAAUGUGUUUAUGAUUACCAUGUUAACGGGAUUCCUAAUCCAUGAUUAGUUGUAAGAUUCAUAUGAAAUUAUUGAUUAUGUGUGUUGUAUCAUGUAAAUUCAUGCUAAAUCCUUUAAAUGGUAAACUUGGUAUUUGAAAUUUGUGAUGCCCACAUGUUGUUUAGUAUUAUGUGCAUAUACUAUGCCCUCCAAGUGUUUGAUGAAUCGUUCAUGUGAGUUGAAUAGUGAAAUUUCUUCAUAUUAGCAUGUAUACAAGUUCAUGUCAUGCAAGUAUUUGUCAAAAUGCCUCAAUGAAUGAAUGAUGAUCAAGUAAUUAUUUAUCAUUUGUUAAGAUUGUGCUACAUUUUGUAUUUUAUGCUAUCGAGUCCUGGGGGUAUUUAAUACCCAAAAAUUUAGCUGCUUACAUAGAACCAUUGUCAGUCACUGAAUAGUAUCAGUCAUGUCACGAUCAGUAGGAUCCAUUCAGUUAUAGAACUCCAAAAAACUCAGUAAACUUAGUUAGUUAAUAGAAAUUAGUAGUAUUCCGUUAGUCAACGGAACCCAGUUAACUCAGUUAGUUAGAAAACACGAUCAGUAACAAUUCAAUCAAGUCUAGUGAAGUUUAAGAAUCAGUCCAGUGUCUAUUCAGUUGGGAGUAGGAUUAGCACUGAGCGAGAGCAGUGAUGAUGGCUUUCUCGUCAGAUAGGUAGAAUCGUUAAUAACAAUUCCUGUACUCGAGAACUGCGUAGCCAGCACAGGACGAAGAGUCACCCGUCAGACUAUGCUUGACUACCUCCCAAGGGUCACCCGUUAGAUUAGGCUUGACUCUGUCUAGGUCUCACCCAUCAAUUAGGCUUGGCAACCUGGUCUUUUAGUAUUAGUACCCGUGGCACGGUAUUAGCACCCUUCCAACUGGGGUUACUGGUUGGACCCCACCAGUUUAGAUUAGGGGCAUGUCGGUUAGAUGAUUACCUCCCAUAAUUUUAGUUUUAGUUUUAGUCUCAGUAUAAAACUCAGUUCAGUUCUACAGAAUCAGAACUAUCAGAUAUAGUCACCCAGCUCAGUAUAGAAUUCAAUUCAAUUCUACAGAUUCAUGACUCUCAGAUGUAGUCACCCAGAUCACUAUAAAACUUAGAUCAGUUCUACAGAAAUAGGGUUGUCAAACAUAACCACUCAGUUAUCAGUAAAACAGUAUCAAUAAACUCAGAUAUUAGUAAAAUAGUAUUCAGAACUCAGUAUCCAGUGUUAUCAUAACUUCAGUUACAAUUUUAUGUAUUUCAUGCAUGUACUCUCACUUAGUUAUGUUCAUAUUACUCAACCAAUUAUUGUCAUGUAUAUGAACCCAUGCAUAUUACCUUACCUCACUUAGUAUACCAGUACAUUCAAAGCACUGACGCAUACAUUUCUUUUAUGCUAUGAUGUUUUAUUUCAUAUGUUCAUAUGCACGGGCUCUUAACCACCCUUAGCAGCCCCUAUUAUCAGCAGCAGAAUAGUGGUGAGUCCUUAUAGUUCAAGGACGAUAUUAUCUUUCAGUAUUUCAGUAUAGUGUUCAGUAUUCAGAGUUAUUUGAGGGCUUGUCCCAUCAACUCCCUAUUCAGACAGUUAGAGGCUUUCAACCUAGAGUAUUCCAGGCAAAUGUUUUCAGUAUUCAAUUUUUAGUAUACAGUAAUUAUUUUUAGUUAUGAACCUUAUGGCGAUAUCAGCCUAUCUUCCGCAUCUAUUUCAGUUAUAUAUUAUGAUUACAGUGUUAUUAUUAUUCAGUGCUACCAGUAGGUACCGGUCAUGGGUUAGCUGGUGGUCCUUUAGGGUCGCAGCACGUGUAGCGUUCGACGUAUAGAAUCGGGGUGUUACACAAUUACCAUUGCAUAUCAUCCCUAUGACAGUCAUGCAUUCAUGAAUAAGUAGUUUCAGUCAUGUAAUCAUGCUUCAGUUGUGCAGUUCAGUAUGUAAACUCAGUCUAUUAGUAUUCUCAGCUUAAUCACUCUCAUUCGAGGAUGAAUGUUCCCAAGGGAGAGAUAUUGUAAGACCUCAUAAAAGUCCUAGUCUAAUUCAGUUCUAUAUAGCAUGUAAAAUGGGAGGGUCCCAGACUUAGAAAUUUCAGCUAAGUGCUUAUACUUAGAAUCAUUAUUUUUGCCUUCAUAAUUCGAUGAUCUUAUUUUUUAUCUUGACAACCUUAGAGUGUCGAAUUUUAAGUUGAUUCAUGAUCAGGGAUGUCAAUAGGUCACCUCGGGAGAGUUAGAAGCUUGUUUGGAUGUCCAAGGCAGUGAGUUGAUGCGAUCUCGACAUGUCGCAUCAUCUAUCGCAUCGAUAGUAUUAUCACUAGUAUCAAGCAUGCGAUUUCCAGUGAGCCGAUGCGAUCUCGAUGCAUUGCAUCGGCCAUCGCGUUGACCUCAUUGAUAUGCUGCGUUGGCUGCCGCAUCACUAGGAAGUUUUUAUUCAUUUAAAAAUCCACAUCUAGAGGGGUAUUUAAGUCAAUUUCUCCACUUUUAUUCAGCCCUAAAAUAUGAAAUUAAGCUAUCCUAAGGGCAAAAUCACUCUUUCUCUCUCAAAUCCUCUCAAGAACAAAACUCUAUGUCAUUUAAUUUCAAGUCCAAAAUUCAAGAACACACCAAUAAUUUUCACAAAUUUAAUUACCAAGGUAUGUUAGGUGUUCAUCCUUGGGUUUCCUUCUACCCUUGGAGUUCAAGAACCCUUUUUAAACUACAAAUUUAUUCAUUUCAUGAUUUAUAUGUUUGAAUUGGAUUAUGUUCAUGUAUGAAUUGAUGUUUGGUUUUCAAAUCAAUAUUCAUUACAAGUUUCAAGUGAAUUAAUUAGCAUGCAUGUAGAAUUAUGUGAUUCUCAUGUUAAACCCUUGAAUUUGCAAGUUGAAUGUUGUAGCCAUGACGUUUAUAUCUUAAUGAUUACUAUGUGCACUAAUUAUGCUCCCCAAGUGUUUGAUAGAAUACCUAUGUGAAUUGAAGAGUGAAUCCAUAACAUGUUAUCAUGUGGUCCCAUUCAUGUACAAGUUCAUGCCUCUCAAGUGUUUGACAAAAUAUCUAAAUGAGUGCAUAGUGAAUAAGUAAUUAAUGUAAUGCUUUCAAGAUUUUGCCAUGUUUUAAUAUUGAUGCUAUCGAGUCUUGGGGGUAUUCAAUACCCAAAAACCUAGCUGUUUACCUAAAAUUACAGUAGCUACAGAAUAGUCUCAGUAUUGUCAUGAACAGUAGUACUCUGACAGUUACAGAACUCAGUCCAGUUCAGUCAGUCAACACAAUCAGUAAUAGUUCAGUCAAACCUAGUACAGUCUAGUGAUUAGUUCAGUGUCUAUUUAGUUGGGAGUAAGAUUCAGCACCAAGCGAACCUAGGGAUGGGGCCUCACCUGUCAGUUGAGGGAGUGACCUUUAGUUGCAGUCCCUUAGUUCUAGAACUAUAUAGCCACUGUAAGUUAAAUAUAUCAACAUGCCAGUUAAGGGUUGAUAAAGUGUUCACCUGCCAAAUGAGGGUGAUUCUUUAGUGGAUCCACAUAGCCAUUGUUAGUACCCGUGGCACAAUGCUAACACUCUUCCAAAUGGGGUCAUAGGUUGGACCCUAGCUCAGUUUAUAAUCUGGGUAUGUUGGUUUGGUGAACACUCCCAUAGUUUUAUCUCAUCUGCCAGAUGAAGGUAAUUCUUUAGUGGAUCCAUAUAGCCAUUGUUAGUACCCGUGGCACGGUGCUUACACCUUCCCAACUGGGGUCAUAGGUUGGACCCCAACUCAUUUUAUAAUCGGGGUAUGUCGGUUAGAUGAACACUCCCACAUUUUAAGUUUCAGACUUAGUAUAGAAUGCAAUUCAAUUCUACAAAGUUGAGACUAUAAAAAAUAGUCACCGAGUUAUCAGUAAUACAAUUAUCAGUAAUCUCAGAUAUCAGUCACUCAGUUAUCCGAAGUCAGUAUUCAAUUUCAGUAUGAUCUCAGAUACAGUAUAUAUAUGUAUAUGCGCAUUAUUUCAUAAUCAACAUUUACACAGUUUCAGAUUCAUGCACUCUCAUUCAGUUGUUUCAUGAUAUUUAUUCAGUCAGUUAUCAUUUCAUGCAAAUGAACCUAUGUAUAUCAGCCUACCUCACUUAGUAUACCAGUACAUUCAAAGUUGUCACGCCUCAAAUUCUAUUGGGGCGAAUAGGCAACCGUAGCCGUAAACACCCGAGAGAACCAAUCCAUAACCUUAUACUUCUUAUGCAUGUAACUAUGACAACCAAAGGUUCUGAAAAACAUGACAUUAUGCAUCAUUGAGAAUAAUUACGUAUGCAAGUGCAAAAUUUUAUAUACAAGACAUGGCCUUUGGGGCCACAUAUCUAAAAGACAAAACACUACCACGUUUAACUUUACAUUAGUCUACAAAGCCUCUAAAAGAUACGUAGACUUGGUUACGUUUGGGACAAACCUUAUCCCUACUCUUGACUACUGCACAAUACCAAAACAUAUGGAACAAACUAGGAAAGCCCCGAAUCAACCUGGAGCUUACCAAUAGUCACCGAAUAGCCUGUACUUCUACUAGCGAGAUGUAUUAGUUGAAGCACCUAUGCCUGCAGCAUGAAAUAUAGGUCCCCCGUGAGGAACGUCAAUAUGAAAAUAUAUACUGAAUAUGUAAGGCUGAAGGUAACAACACAUUACGCAAGCGCUCAAUAUAAAUCAGAUACAAGUGUAUAAGUAGUACUAGUAGACCACCUUUAUCUAUACUUGUGGGACGACAUACAUUACAUUUUUUUCUUCAUUUUUACCUUUCUUACCUUAUAAUCUUUGUAAGCCAUAUAAUGCAAAUGGCCAUCUGGUCAGUGGUAAAUAGAUAAAUCGGGAUUGUCCCAUGCUAGGCUUAUGCCCCUGAGCUGCCACCCACAUAAGAACAUUGGUAUCGGCCCAUGCUAGGCUUAUGCCCCUGAGCUACCACCCACAUAUAAAGGUAUCGAGAUCGGCCCAUGCUAGGCUUAUGCCCCUGAGCUGCCACUCAUUUUACAUAUUUGCAUUACUUAGUUUAUUUAACCUUUGAGAUUGUUACUUUGGUGGUCAUAACAUUAUGGUACCUUGAAACAAUAAUCUACCAAUAAGAGACAUGUACGUGGGCACUUAAUGAAACAAUAAUGAAGUGGGGAGCUGUUGGCACACAAAUGAAGUAUUUAGGAGCUGAAAAUACACAUGGGUCUUAUUUGAGUAAAUGGGGAACUUCUAAAAUUUUCUAGUGAAAAUAGACGUGCAGGUUUAAUAAUAAGCAUAUUUUGAGUUGUUUUAACACAUUAGAGAGUGGGAACAAGGUCAUUGUCUAUAUGGAACAUAAUACGCUGCUAUUCUGUAUCACUGGUUUAUAGGAUAACCUUGGAAGCUUAAUGGAACAAAUGUUCGAUUUCAUACCAAAGAGUACAAAAUAGAGUAUGCCUUACAUACCUAGUUAUAUAAUUCCAAAACUAACCUAUCUUGACUUUCUUCCUUUUAGAUUACUUUUCUACAAUAGAAUAUAUGGUAACUAAUAUUAGCAACCAACCGACACAUUUGGAAUAUUUAACUUCCCCAAAACAGUAACGGGCAGUAAACCCUUUUAUCCUCCAAUUACACCCACAUACCAUACAUAUUCUUAUAAGAUUCACCAAAACCACCUUGGCUUCAUUACACCCUUCAAACAAUAUGCAAAACAGAUUGGGCAGUAAGCGUAUGUAAUAAUUAAUUUGGUGGUGUAACGCCUCACUUUCUUUCCUAUAUUUUAAUUCGAACUAGUCACACCUUUCUCCAACAUCAACCCAGGAGCCCAUAACAUAUAUAUACAAAACCCCAAGUCCCUUUUAUUAUAGCAAUCAAUUAUUGAACUCAUCAUCUCUUGAGUUCCCAUUAACAACACAUCCAUACCUCUUUCCCAAAUUCAUAUAUAAGGAGAACAAAAUGGGGCAGUCACCUUACCUCAAUUUUGUAACUUAUCCUUUAAAUUUGAACUUCUUAAGAACUUCAAGUUUCACUUUUCUUAACACUUUAAACAAAGAAUAAAAGAAAUCUCUUAAUAACAAAGAAAAAGUGAGCAAGUAGUUUGUUCUAUAUUUAGCCAUGUAUUUAUAAUUAGGCACCUAUAACUUGUUUUCCCAAUCUCCUAUGAGAUAAUUAAGCUAAACUUUAAGUGUUUUCACUUACCUUAGCUUGCAAAGAUGAGGGUUUCUUCAAGAACCCUAGAAGGAAUUUUAGGACUGUUGUUCUUAUCCUUGUUAAGAAAGAGAGAAAGUUGAAAUUUAAAAGGGUGAAUAUUGUGUUUAAAAUGAGUAAAAUGACCAGCUAUUUUGAUCUUAUAUUGAGCCCUUUAUAACUUCUCUUAUUGACCUUAUUUUCAGCCACAAACUAGUUCAAGUAGGUGGUGCACCUACUUAAGGGUUCAAGUUGCUUAAAAUUUUAAAGUAUGUGAUGCACCUACUAGCUUAAUUUCUUAUUUUGGGCUUAAUUAACUUGGGCCUUUGGAAGAUUUAGAUGCUGGGUCAUUUCUCCAUUUUCUUCCUCUUUUAUUCAAUUUGGGCCCAAAUGAGCACAUUAGUAUAGACCCAAAUUUGGUCCAUAGCUAUGGGUCCAUUAAUUUGGUCCAAAUAGCUUAAGUAGCUGACUCACCUACUAGCUUAAUUAAGUAGAGCAAGCACCUCAAUAUUUUAUUCUAUUUUCAGUUCCUAAUCCCUUUAAUCUAACCUUCAACGUGUACACACUUGGUCACUUUAAACUUUAGAUUCAAAUACUAGCUUAUGAUCCCAAGUUUAAAUAGUUGUAUCGACGUUAUACGGGCAACAUCUAUAAUUCCACCUGCACUAUUAAUACUUUCAUAACAAAUAUCAUCCAUUAUCUAUACCACGAGGCUAUACCAAAUUCUAUAUAAUUAGAACAAGUACAAGCAAAAUAUGAGGUGUUACAAAAGUACUGACACAUACUCUUUUUUUUGCGCUAUGAUGUCUCAUAUCAUAGGUUCAGACACACGGGCUCCUGAUCGUACUUAGCAGCUCAGGUUAUCAGCAACAGUAAUAGUGGUGAGUCAUCAUAUUUCGAGGACAAAGUUAUUAUUUCAACAUUCCAGUAGUUUAGUAUGUUUAGUAGUCGGAGUUAGUUGGGGACUUGUCCCAUCAACUCCCUGUUCAGAUAGUUAGAGGCUUUCAGACUAGAUUAAGUCAAACAGAUGUUUAGUUUUUAAGUAUUUCUAUCAGUAUUCAGUAUCUAUUUUAGUAUUUUGAGAACCUUAUGGCAUUUUAGUUAUAUUUAUGCAUAUGUUAAUAGUAUUAUUAUUCAGUGCUCACAGCAGGUACCAGUCAUAGGUUAGCUUGUGGUCCUUCGGGAUUGUAAGCACCGUGUAACAUCUAGGGUAUAGAAUUGGGGCAUUACAACUGUUUGGAUGGUUGUGACUAUUCGGAAAAGUCAUACUAUUUUGAAUGAACAAACAUGAUUAUUCUUAAAAUAUACACCUUUCCAAUAAAUCAUUGUCUCCUUUUCGAAGAGGCACUUCAUGGCUUUAUAAACCUACAUUUUUCCAUAGGUUUAGUAUGAAAAAAAUUCUAUACAACAAAACCUCCAUGUGAUCAUCUCCCGUUGAGUGAAUUCGAAGAAAACUAGAAUAUUUGAGGUACCAUUACAUUCUGGUUGUCAAGCCAUUUUAUCCUGGGAGGAAAAUUCUGCAACCUCAGGUACUUGAGGGGAAUUAUUUUCUUAAGAAAAUUCCGCGAAUUCAAAGGACUUGGCAUAAUUCUACUUCUAUCUCUUUUCUUUAAAAUACUGAUUAACACAUUUCUAUUGAAAGGUCAUUUUGAUCUUGUCUUGAAGGUGUUGAAACUUCUAGUUGUUUUUGACAAGUUUGUUCUUGAACUUAGUUGAAGUUUAUGCAAAAUAACAAACAGAUUAUGUACCCAAAACAAUAAUUAUAAAUUAAAUUACAUUCACUAGUUCCUAAGUAUUUGUCUUUUACAAGUGCAUCUUUAAUUUCAAAGUAAACAAAUGAAUUGAAUGUUAAUACAAUUCUAAACAAAUGAAUUGAAUAUUAAUACAAUUCUAAGAAAUAUAAGUUUUAUGCAUUAGAUAAAUUCAGUAUGACAAGCUCGACAUGAGAAGGUUUUGACAAGUUAAAUUGAUACUUAACCUUUCCUAUAAAUUACCACCUUAUAUAAAAUUAUUAAGCGGUUUCAUGAAUGUCAAAUAACCGUAAGGAAUAUAGUUAACUAGCAGAUAAACAUUAAUGUUAUUUUGCAUUGUUUGUAGUGUUGGUUGAUGCCAUUCCAACAAUUGUUAAGUGUCUUCUCGCUGUCACCUCUUUGAAGUGCCAGGGAUUCUCAUUCCGACUCAUGAGAAUGAAACACCCACAUCUUUAAAGGCAUUAUAAACUCUGGUUGUUUUUCUGGUUGGGGACUGUCAAAUAUACUGAUUAUCAAGAGCGUCUCAAUAAAAUUAGUAGUUUAAAGUCAAAUUUUAAUAAGAGCUCUUACAUAUGUAAACAUACACACAAAUAUACUACUAUAAUAAUUUAGAAUUGUUUUAUUUGUUCUUACAUAGUAGUUAUUUUGGUGUAUUAUUUUUGAAAGACAUAUAACCUUUAACUUCACAUAUUAAUAUAAUUAUUAAUAAAAGUAAGGACUAAUUCUAGUUAAUAAGAUAUUAUCUAUUUGUUUGCAAUGCAUUAACUUGAAUCUUAUUGUAAAAUUUUAUUUAUUAAUGAAAAGUUUGAGUAGUUUAGUUCAAAGUUCUAAAAUAUUUCUUAUAAAAAUGAGAUAGUUUUUUCUCUUUUUUUUUUAGAUAAUUUUUUAAAAUGUAUUUCACAAUCUUCAUUAUUAUUUCAAGCGAAAUUGAAAUCACAUAGUUUACUAUUAAAGUUUUUUUGAGGCCUCAAAAUUUGGGAGGCCUAAAGUUAAGGUUUUAGUAGUCUUACCUUUAAGUCACCCCAGCGAAUAGGUAUAAUUAUAUAAGAAAUGUAUAAAAAUUGGUAUAAGAUGGAAAAAAACACCUAUGAAAUCAAGAAGAUAGCUGGGUGUUGUGGUUUUCAGACGAAAUCUUAAAGCUUAGAGUGUUAAUAUGUGUAUUUGAACUUCCUGAGCAUCCAUGAUCCUUAAAUCCUGAAUCCGCCACUACAACUUUGUCCAUGUAGUACUAACUUUAUAUGAAAGAAAUGAGAUUGCAUACAAUUUUCAUAAUACAAGGAUAUUAAGGGCUUGUUGCGAGAUAAACUACGAUUUGAAAUUAAUUUGAACUGAAGUUGAAAUUUUGUUUGGACGUAUAAUUUGAAUUUCUUAAGUUGUACUAUUUUUCUCAUAAACAUAAAACUUCAUAAGUUGUGAAAACUAUCAGAAUGACCCCAAUUCUUUAUACAAUUGUACAAAUAUGCAAAAAUUUGAAAAAAAAAAUAUAAUACAUUAUCACAAAGCUACUUUAAAAUAAUGUACAACAUUCAAUUUAUUGAUCGAACUUUAGUUCAAUAAAAAGUAAAGUUAAACAUUUGUUGUAGUAUACUAUUCUUUAAUAUAAUGCUCCCACAUAGUACAUACAAGCUCCUCACGUUGAGUAUGCAUUUCUCAAUUAGAUAUAAAUACUUGGUAAAUAUAAAAUGAUUAGUUAUUUCAAAUAAAAUUUAACUUGUUGGAUCAAAUUUUAUAUUUAAAAAAGUUAAAAUCAUAAUUUGGAAUAUCAAAUUAAGGAUUUUUGAGAUUUUAGAAUUUCAUGAUUUGAAUUCAUAAAAUAAAAUUAUACGUCCAGAUGCUAUUUUCAUCUCAAGAUUUCAUACCACAAGAUAAAAUUGCUUAUCCACAUGCCUAUUAAGUAUUUAAUUUUUUAAACUAAUCAGUGUGGGAAAUUAGCCAUGUGGAAACAAGUCAUUGAAAGCAAAGAUAUUAAACGACCCUAUAACACCAAGGAUUGUCAACUUUGAUUAGUUCACCAUUUAUUUAUUAAAGGAAAAAGGGUCAAAUUUAUUCUUUUAUUAUAAAAAAUUAGUUAAAUAUAUUUUUUGUCAUAUUUUAUAUUUUAGGGUCAAAUUUAUUCUUAAUGUUAUACUUUGAAGCUAAAUUUACGCUUGUUAUUAUAAAAAUUUCACUUGUUCCCGUGAUUUAAAAGAAUAGUCUAAAUCAACAUUAAAUAUUUUAUUAUUUAAAAAUAAAACAUCCCCUAAUCUUAUCCGCUCCAUCCGAUCCGACCUUACAAAAAAGACAAAGACAAAUGUACCCUUUCCCUCAGUUUUGUUGGUCGAAUUUUCAAUGAGCAAAUAUAUUUCUCUUUCAACGUGCAACGCUAGUAGGGUGUUUACAAAUGAACAAAACGUAAAAUGAAAUGGGACAAACACAUAAGUAUGAAGCUAGAGAAUAUGUCUAAUAGAGACUUUGCUUUUGUUCCAGUUGUAGACACCUAAUUUUGUCCCUUUCAAAGUUCAAUUUUAUCCAUUUUAAGCUCACUUUACCAUGCACCCACACCCAUGUGAUUAUGCCCUACAAAAAUACAAAAAAUAACAACCCUUAACAAAAUUCCUAACAAAUUUUAUCUUCUUUUAAUCAUCCUAACAACCUACCCCUACCCAAACCAUCCACCUCACCACCCUCACACCCUACCCCUCAUGAUUUUAUUUAAUUUGAACCAAUUCACAAAAGGAAAAAGAGGGAGGGGGCCCCACUAGGGAAUAUUCCUGGAUUGUCUAAUUCAUUAACACAGAAAAAGGAUUCCAUUUUUUUACUUUCCUUUUCACUUCUUCACCACCAUCAUUCAUAGACACACAUUCACUCACCUCAUAGCAACACAAACACAAGAUUCACGCACACACACAGCCGUGAGAAAUCAGUGAGAGAGAAAAGGAGGGAGAUAUAUGAGAAAUCACUGAAGAAAAGAAAUGGACUCCAUUUUUUGAUCUCUUCUUGGCGAUACAUGCACAAAUACCAUAGAUCCUUACCAAGGCACACACACGCAGAAAGAAUCACAAAGAAAAUCAGAGAGGGAGGUCGAUUCUUGAGUUUUCCAGCAAGAUUCUCGCCGGAAUCAGCGCCGACUAUUUGAAUUAAUCUACCCCAUUCCAAAAACCCAACAUAUCUUGUUAUUUCUUUCUAAUUUUUAAGCGAGACCACUGAAAACAAGUAAAUAGCAGUAGAGCCAUCAGCAUCUUCUUCCAAAUAGAUCCUAAAAUAAUUUAACGUUAGUACUGUAUUUGGAUUUGGAUUUUGUUUAUCUCGGUGGGUUUGUCGUAGUCUAUUACAGGUCUCUGUUUCUCGAUACCAAGUAGAGUUUGUUCACUAUCCUUCAUGGGUUCUCUUUUCGAAUUGGCUUUAGAGGGAUUUUUGUGCUAGAAUUAGUUCAUAGUCGAGAUUUUGGUGUUCGUUGGGGUUCUCGGAGCUGCUCUCAUCUUUCUUAUUAAGUCAAUUGAAAGAUUUUGAGGUUCAAUUAUCGACUCUACUCUUUUAUUAUUAUUAUUAUUAUUAUUAUUAUUAUUAUUAUAUAUUUGAUGACAAUUGACUGGGUAUUUGGUUGAUACUUGGUGUUGUUUUUCUAGAUAGCUAGUCGCUGUUAUGAAACCGAUGUUGAUAUGGCUUGAUAACUAUUUCAUAUUAAAAUUCAUGUGUUAAAAGAAAUUUGGGAAGGGGUUAAACGCGAUAAAGUGAAUUAGUAUUAAUUUUGGAUCAUCGAUUAUAUUGAAUUUAUUGAAAUUGUGAUAAAUUGAAUCUAGUAGGCAAAUGCUAAGUUGGGUAGGCAAAUUUAGAACUUUUGGAUUGUUGAAUAUUGAAAAUGUUUGUUGAAUGAUUUUAUUUUAUGAAUUUGGAUCAAUCGUAUUCAUUCGUUGGGGAAUGCCCCAAGGUCAUAUUUGUAUUUAUUCACCGGGGAAUGCCCCGACGUAUCAUGUACUCAGAGGACGCCCGUGAUGAAGGCCUGAAGCAUCAGAUAAGGCAUUGGAGCAUAGUUUAAGAUUAGUGCAGGUUAGCGUAGGUUUACUUUUCAGUACCUUUUUCAUUUCGGGUUGUAAUAAUUGGACUGGACACUAUAUUUUUAAUUGAUUUUGUUUUGUUUUAUUUGAUUGAUUUUUUUGUGCGUUUUUGUGUGGUUUAUAUAUUUUGUAGUAUCAAAUUAGUCGAUAUGCUCCACCAAGCGUCAGUGGUCGAACCACGGGAUCGAGGGGUGCCUAACACCUUCCCCUCAGUCAAUAAAAUUCCUUAGCCGGAAUCUUUGUUCGCGGAUUAGUUUAAAAGAGUCAAAAUCAUUUUCAAAAAAGGAUUUUCAAAGGUGACUUGGCACACCAGAUUUAUUCCAAGUGACGACUCUGAAUAAAAAAUGUAAAAGUUUUUUUUUUAAAAUAAUUUUUUUUCUUUUGUCAAUAAUAAAACCCUUUCGAACUUUAAAAUCUAUAUCUUUUUGGUUGAAAAAGGGGUGUGACAUCAGUUAUGUUCAAAUUUUAAAAUUUGAUAUGCAAUUUUAUGUGUAUCUAGAUUCUAGAACUAGUGGAUAAGUUUUCUAAUCAAAUGAUAUGAUGAAAAAAUUGUGUAGAUCCAAAUUGUAUAUAUAGAGACAUAAAAAAGAAGAGAUGUCAUGAUUGAUACAUAAGGAGACCUCUUAACUAAAUCAUUUAGAGAAAUAUCCAAUGGGCGUAAUUUGUUGCAUAUGACCGCUAAGUGUCAUUUUUCAUAAGCUCUGCACUGUUGCAGAUCCAUGAGCUGAGGGGGGGGGGGGGGGAUUUUUUGUUUUUUUUUGCAAAAUUCAUUUAUGAGCUAUGUAUUGAUAAAUAUUCAGUGGACUAACACAUUGAAAAAUUUUGAUCAUAACCGAGAGAGGAGAAUAUUUAUUUGUGUAUUUUUUUAUGUAGUUGGACGGAUUAGAUUAGGGUGUAUUUAAUUUUUUAAAAAUGAGACAUUUAACGUUGAUUUAGACUUUUUUGUUAAAAGAAUAGUACGCUGUAUUAGUGAAAAGUUUCGCAGCAGCAAGGAUACAUUUGAACUUAAAGUAAGAAAUUGAGGAUAAAUUUGACCUCAAAAUAUAAUAAAAGAUAUUUAGCCAAGUUUGAAAAAUGGUUAAAUUAUUUGUAUUAGUUUAUGUUGGGUUCAAGUUAAAUGUGUGAAUGGAAAAUAGAGGAAAAAUACUGGAGGGAAAGUGAGCCCACACUAAAAUAAAAAGUGUGCUCAAAAUGAGGAAAGUCUACUAAAUUCUCCCACAUUGGUGGGAGAAAGAAACUUUCGUGCGUUUAUAUUGAGAAAUACAUCUAUACUUGGUAAGUGAGGCAAGAACUAAGAGGUGCCUCGCACCGUCAUUGUUGUCGCUCGCUCGGCUUCAGAUUUGGAUUUAAAAUAUGAUCGAUCGAUGAGAUUAAUCUUUUUGGACAAAAUUUAUUUGAAAUCAGUUCAAAAUCCAAAGGAAAAAAUGCAAUAGUUUUGCUCCUCCAUUAACGUGCAUGCUUCUGCAUGCAAAAAUGACGCGGAAAGUUUCUUGAAAGAGACAUAACUCUUUGAGUAAAAGACACAGUGUUUUGGGAAAAGGUAUGAUUGUUUGUAUGGUUGUGGUUGUUUAGAAAAGACACACUGUUUCGAAUGGACAAGCAUGACUAUUCAGGAAAGAUACACUUUUUUAUGAACCAUUGCCACCUUGCGGAAGGGGCACUUCCUGUCUAUAUAAUCCUGCAUAAUUCGACACAUUUAAUAACAAUUUUUUUUUCUGAUUUACAAACAAUUUUUGUCUCUAAAAUACUCUGUGUGAUCAUCUUCAGUUGAGUGAGUUCGAAGAGAAUCCGAUCGUUUAAGGUACCGCUACUGUCAGGUUGUUAAGAAAUUUUAUCCUAAGAGGAAAAAUUCCACAACCUCGGGUACUUGAGGGGAAUUAUUUCCUUAAGGACACCCCGUGAAUUCGGAGGACUUGACUUAUUCUGCUUCAUCUAUUUUUCUUAAAAAAUAUAGAUUAACAAACUUCUUUGAAAGGUCAUUUUGAUCUUGUGUUGAAGGUGUUGGAAAACUUCAAAAGUGUUCUUGAAAAAAACUUAAACUUGUGUUGAAGUUUAGUGAACUAACAUACAGAUUUUGUGUGCCCGAAAUAACAAUCUUAAGGAAAUAACUUUGUAAUCUGUAUUAUUUGGUUUUGGGAGAUUAAAGCUUUAAGCUUUCUACCCCGUUUGAACUUAACAAGUGAUUUGAGGAAAUAAAAUCUUCAUCAUAAGUUAAAAGUCAUUCAGUUAACGAUUGAAAGUCAUAAAAAUUUCAUCGUUUAACUAGAAACAAGGGGUGUUUAAAGUUGUUACAACUUUAUAAGUAGUAUUUUGAUAUAUUAAAGUUGACUGUCUUUUUAUGACAAGAAAAAUGACUACGGAUAGUCAUGUGAAUGAUGCUGGGAAAAGUAUGGCAGCAACUAAUGUUUGUCACAAUGAGUCGUACGAGUGCUCCGCAGGCAAUGGCACCAGCGAAGAAACCCAAAAAAUUCAUGGGUGUUGAUUGUACAAGCUGGCAACAGAAGAUGUACUUCUACCUUACAAUGUUGUGUCAUCAAAGAUUACAUCUAAAGAAGAUCCACAGUUGCCUGAAGGAACUUUGGAAUAGGAGUGAUUUGUCAUUAUGGAGGCGUAGAAACAUUCUGAUUUUCUAUGCAGGAAUUACAUUCUAAGUGGCCUCCAAGAUGACCUAUACAAUGUGUAUAGUGGAAUGAAGACGUCAAAAGAGUUGUGGGGUGCGCUAGAAAGAAAAUACAAAACUGAGGACGUUGGAACCAAGAAGUUCUUUGUUGCAAGAUUCCUAGAGUAUAAAUGAUUAACAGCAAGUCAGUUGUAUCUCAAGUAUAGGAACUACAAGUUAUCAUCCACGAUCUCCUUACAGAAGGUUCGAGGCAUUUCAAGUUGCGACAAUAAUAGAGAAGUUACCACCUAUGUGGAUGGGCUUCAAGAACUACUUAAAACAUAAAUGAAAGGAGAUGACAGUCGAAGAUUUCAUAGUGAAACUGCACAUUAAAUAAGACAACAAAACCAGGGAAAGGAGGUUGAAAGUAAAUUCUACAAUGAAUGGAGCAAACAUUGUAAAAGACGACCACAACAACUCAAAAUAGCGAAAAAAAGUUGGACAAGAAAGCAAUUAACCUAAGAAUAAAUUAAAGGGGAAAUGAUUUAAUUGUGGCAAGAUGGACCGCAAGUCAAUAGAAUGUCAUGCCCCAAAGAAAGGCAAAAAGAAGGACCAAGCAAAUAUGAUUGAAUCCAAGAAAGAAAUGGACGAUCUGUGUGCAAUGAUGUUUGAAUGGAACUUGGUGGGAAAUCCUCAAGAAUGGUGGAUGGAUUCCGGUACCACCCGCCAUGUUUAUGCAAAUAAGGAGUUGUUUGUUGUAUUUGCUCCUUCUCAAGGAGAAGAGAAGAUCUAUAUGACAAACUCCGCAACUGCAAAAGUUGAAGAAACAAGAAAGGUCUGGCUGAAAAUGAUAUCAGGCAAAGUGUUGACUUUGAACAAUGUCCUGGAUGUACCGAGGUUAUGGAAGAGCUUGAUUUAUGUAUCACUUCUUGAUAAAAAUGAAUUCAAAUAUGUAUUUGUUUUGGAAAAAAUUAUACUUAGUAAAGGAGAAGUGUACAUAGGAAAAGGCUACCUCACUGAGGGCCUAUUCAAAAUGAAUGUAAUGAAUAUUGAAAUCAAUAAAAGUUCAGUUUCUUCUUACUUUCUUGAGUCUAAUGAUUUGUCACAUGAACGAUUAGGACAUGUCAAUUAUAAAACAUUGCGAAAACUGAUUAACUUAGAAGUUUUUCCAAACUUUGUGCAAUAAAUCGAAAUGUCAAAGAUGUGUGGAAUCAAAGUAUGCUAAGCAUCCGUAUAAGUCCGUUGAAAAGAAUUUCAAUCUCUUAGACUUAAUAUACACUGAUAUUUGUAAUAUGAAGUCAACACUAUCUCAUGGUUAAAAAAAGUAUUUUAUAACUUUUAUUGACGAUUGCACUAGAUAUUGUUAUGUCUAUUUGCUAAAUAGUAAGGAUGAAGCAAUAGAUGCAUUUAGGCAAUAUAAAAUAAAAUUUGAAAAUUAUUUAGAGAAAAAAUCAAAAUGAUAAGAAGUGAUAGGGGUGGAGAAUGUGAAUCUCCCUUUGCGGAAAUAUGUGUAGAGAAUGGAAUUUUCCAUCAAAUUAUGGCCCCAUAUUCACAUCAAUCUAAUGGAAUUGCGGAAAGAAAAAAUUGAACCUUAAAGAAAAUAAUCAAUGCCUUACUUAUAAGUUUAGAUUUAUCGCAAAACUUGUGGGGGGAACCUAUCCUUACAGCUAACCGAAUACUCAGUAGAGUGCCCCAUAGUAAGACACAAUCGAUUCCAUAUGAAAAAUUUAAAUGAAGGAAACCCAACUUGAUAUAUUUCAAAGUGUGGGGGUGUCUAGCGAAAGUCCAAGUUCCUAUGCCUAAAAGGGUGAAAAUAGGACCUAAGAUAGUGGAUUUUGUGUUCAUAGGAUAUGCUAAAAGUAGUAAAUAAUGUCAGUUUUCGGUUCAUAAAUUUGAACAUCCGAAUAUCAAUGAAAAUACGAUAAUUGAAUCAGAUAAUUCUAAAUUCUUUGAACACAUUUAUCCAUAAAAAACUAGGCAUGAACAGUCUAGUGGGGGGUCUAAAUAACCUUAAGAUGAGCCAAGUAAAGAUAUACAUAAUGAUGAGAAUCCACAAUGCAGUACACGUCAAAGAACGUCACUUUGUUUGGAUCGAAUUUUAUAACAUUUCUCUUAGAAAAUGAGCCUCAAACAUUUAAAGAAGCGAUGCUGUCGUCAGAUUCUUGGAAAGAGGCAGUCAAUAGUGAGAUUGAUUCAAUCUUAAGCAACCAUAUGCGAGAGUUGGUUGAUCUUCCUCCAAGAAAUAAACCUUUAGAUUCUAAAUGGAUCUUCAAAAUAAAAAUAAAAGUGGAUGGUACUAUUGACAAAUAAAAGGCAAGACUUGUAGUAAAAAGCUUCAAACAGGAAGAAGGCCUUGAUUACUUUGAUACAUACUCGUCAGUAAUAAGGAUAACGUCAAUUCGGAUAUUAAUUGCCUUGGCAGUGGUAUAUGAUCUUAAAAUCCAUCAAAUGGAUAUGAAAAUAGCAUUUCUAAAUGGAGAAUUGGAGAAAGAAAUUUACAUGGAACAACCUGAUGGUUUGUGGUUCCUGGUAAAGAAAAAAAGGUGUGCUAACUAGUUAAGUCACUCUAUGGACUAAAACAAGAACCUAAACAAUGACAUGCGAAGUUUGACAAAACCAUGUAGGCAAACGGGUUCAAGAUAAAUAAAUGUGAUAAAUGUGUUUACAUUAAAAACACUCCAAAUUAUCAGGUCAUUAUUUGUUUAUACGUAGAUGAUAUGUUGAUCAUCAGUAGAGACAUUUCUGACAUAAAUGCUACAAAAUGUGAGAGCAAGUUUGAUAUGAAAUACCGUAGGAUUGCGGAUGUGAUCUUAGGAAUAAGAAUCUAUAGAACUCCACAAGGGUUGGCAUUGUCACAGUCUCAUUACAUCGAAAAGGUACUUGACAAAUUCAAGUAUUUGGAAUUUGUAUUGCCAAGACUCCAUUAGACAUGAGCUUUGCACUUCAAAUAAAUAAAGGUGAAAGUCACUCACAGUUGGAGUACGCAAGAGUGUUGGGAUGUUUAAUGUAUAUAAUGAAUUGUACAUGACCAAACAUAGCAUGUGCUAUUAGUAUGUUGAGUCGGUACAUGAGUAAUCCCAAUAAAACUCAUUGGAUGGCAAUGAAAAGAGUUUUGGGGUAUCUUAAAUACACUCAUGCUUUGCUUUAUAAUAAAUAUCCUGCGGUACUUGAAGGAAAUAGUUAUCCAAAUUGGAUCACUGGAUCGAAUAAAGUAAAACCACUAGUGGAUAUAUAUUUACUAUAGGUGGAGAAUCAGUCUCUUGAAAAUCAUCCAAACAGAUAUGUAUUGCUCGAUCUACAAUGGAAUCAGAAGUUAUCACAUUAGAUAAAGUCGGUGAAAAAGCAGAAUGACUCCAAAAUUUCUUAAAAGAUAUUCCUUGUUAGCCCAAACCUAUGGAACCAGUAUGAAUACACUAUGAUCGCCAAGCGGUGAUAAGUAGGGCAGGGAACAUAAUGUACAAUGGUAAAUCUCGUUAUAUAAGAUGGAGACAUAAUACCGUUAGAGAACUUCUCUCUAGUGGAAUUAUCACUGUUGACUAUGUGAAGUCAAAGAAUAAUGUGUUAGAGCCACUUACAAAAGUCCUAUCUAGGGAAGGAGUUGACAGAACAUCCAAUGGAAUGGGUUUACAGCCUAGGACAAGUCAACAUAGCAGUAACUCUACCUAGCAGACUGAGAUCCCAAGAGCUAGGUUCAAAGAGAUCAAACUAAGUUGUGUCUGACAGAUCCAACAUUGUCAAUAUACCCAACUCAUUCUCAUAAUUUAGAAAAUGUUUAGUAAACAAGGAUAAGACUUAUGGUGUGAAUCUUUUAAUUAUUAUCUAAAUUUGGCAGAUUUGACCAAAUAGUUUAAUCUAUAGGAUUGAAAAGCUUAGAAAUCAUCUAUGUGAGGGCGAAGUGAAUGCCGCUUCACAGAGAAUGUUAGUAAAGGCCUAUUCUCUAAGCUCUCAUAAAAUCGGGACGUGUUUAUGGCUAAAACAAAUAAAACUGUGAGAACCAUAAACGGUAAAAAGCUGGUUAUGUGAUAUAUGUUGUCUAGGUGUUCAUUAAAGCUUGAUGGUUCAAAGAUAUCAAAUCUAUUGAUUGACUGGGUGCAUCUGAUGCAUGUUUACUACAGAAAGUUCAAAGGAAAACCCACUUAGCCAGAUGCAAUCAGUCUUUUCUUGAUGAUCACAUACUUGUCUGUAAAGUUUUACAAAGAUAACCAUUUCCCAUUCAUGUGGGAGAUUGUUCGAUUCAGUUGAACGUGUGAAUGAAAAAUAGAGGGAAAAUAGUGAAGAAAAAGUGAGUCCACAGUAAAACAAAAAGUGUGCUCAAAAUGAGAAAAGUCUACUAAAUUCUCCCACAUUGGUGGGAGAAAAAAAACUUUUGUGAGUUUAUAUUGAGAAACACAUCUCCACUUGGUAAGUGAGGCAAGAACUAAGAGGUACCUCUAGCCGAUGUCAUUGUCGCUCGCUCGGUUUCAGAUUUGGAUUUGGAUUUAGAUUUGUUAAAUAAUCGAUCGAUGAGAUUAAUAUUUUUGGACAAAAUUGAUUUGAAACCAGUCCGAAAACCCAAAGAAAAACUGCAAAAGUUUUGCUCCUCCAUUAACGUGCAUGCUUCUGUAUGCAAAAAAGAUGUUGAAAGCUACUCGAAAGAGACACAACUCUUCAAGUAAAAGAACACUAUUUUGGGAAAAUGUGUGUUUGGAUGGUUGUGACUGUUCGGAAAAGACACAUUAUUUCUAAUGGACAAGCAUGACUAUUAAAAAUUGAUACACCUUUUCGAUGAAUCAUUGCCACCUUUCGGAAGGGGCACUUCAUGGUUAUAUAAACAUGCAUUUUUCCAUAGGUUUAAUAACCGAAAAAAAUUUUGAUUCACAAACACUUCUUGUCUUCUAAAAUACUCCUUGUGAUCAUCUCCUGCUGAGUGAGUUCGAAGAGAAUUUGAUCAUUUGAGGUACUGCUACUGUCAGGUUGUUAAACCAUUUAAUCCUGGGAGGAAAAAUUUUGCAACCUCGGCUACUUGAAGGGAAUUAUUUCCUUAAGGACACUUCGUGAAUUCGAAGGACUUGGCUUAUUCUGCUUUAUCUAUUUUUCUUAAAAAAAAUACAGGCAUUCUUCUUCUUCAUAUUAGUUAGGGAUUUCUUAUCAGGAACCAACUCCACAUUGUAUUGAAAUUGUUGCAUUAAUUCAUUAGAUAGGUCAUCCCAACUUUUCCACUUGUCGAUAUCCUGGUCAACAAACCAUUCCAUAGCUAGACUUGAAAGACUCUCAUCGAAAUAAGCCAUGAGUAAUUCUUCCUUCCCUCCAAUGCCUCUUAGUUGGUUACAAUAACGUCUCAAAUAUGCUACGGGAUCAUCUUGUCUAUCAUACUUCUCAAACUUUAGCAUUUUAAAACCAAGAGAAAGGUUAACACCUGGAAACAUUCACAUAUCUUUAUACAAGACACUUUUAUAACCCCCGAGCCCCUAUAAGUUUUUUAUGGCUUGUUCUAAACUCUUCAAUUUUUAAAGUGCCCUGCCUCCUCUUCUUCUGUCAUAACAUGUUUCUCGUUGUUAAGAGAAAAUUCAAGCAGUUGAGUGUAUCUAUAAGGACCAGUCGACUUAAAUGUGUGUUCAGGAGCAUAAUGUUGAUCACCAUACAUAUUCAAUACAGGCUCUCCCGUAGAGUAGGGAGGUACAACCGAUGGAUGAACAUCAAAAGUAGGAAAUUCAGAUAGGGGUGGAGGUGCAAAAACAUAAACAAUAUGAGGAAUUGAGUAUGUGGUAGUUUGUGGUGAGGAGUGAGGAAAUGAAUAUUGGAAUUGUUUGGAUAAUAUUGCCCCGGAGUAGACCCUAAUGUAUGUUGUGGUGUGUUAACAAGAAUAGGGCAUUGUGCAUGUGACACUGGAGCAAAUCAACCACCUUACACUAACUGAACAAGAAAUAACAAAUGCGUUAGUUUAACAUAUUUUUCAAACAAACUUUGUUUUCUUGAAAAGAUCACCGAAUCUAAGAGGGGUGCCUAUGUAUCUCACCUCCGAGAGGAAAGAAUCAGGUGUGCGUAGUUCGUGAAGUUUUGACACCCAAUGGCCAAUCAAACUCUUUCUUUGUUUUUCUUUGAACUUUGAGAAGAAAAGAAAAUAAUAAAUUUUCAAAAGAUUUGACAAUUAUUUUUUUGAUUUUUUUCAGCUUUAAAAUCACUAUUCAAAAUAAAAUCUAUGAUUACCAAAGGAAAAUCUUUUUGGGUUUUCGAUUCUGAAUUUCAAACGAAAAUGGAACUUGAAACUAUUAAAGAAAAAUCUUUUUGUAGUUUUAUUUUAAAGAUGUAUAUGAAACACCUACUCUAAAUGAAGAGUGAAGAAAAUCUUUUUGAAUUUUUUGAAAUUAGAUCACCGAACCCAAGAAGUGUUGCCUAUGUAUCUCACUCCAAAAAGAGGAGAAUUAGGUGUGUGUAGUUCGUCCAGAUUGGACAAUUAAGAAUUAAAUAACAAACUGAACCUUGACUUAAGAGUCACGACCGAAGACAAACAACGGAAAAACACCAAUAAUAUCUUUUUUUUUAAUUUCCAUAUGAAACUUUAUAGAAAAUGACACCUACGACUAUGAAAGGAAAAUAUUUUUGAUAUUUUCGUUAAAAGAAAUGUACAAAACUUCUACCAUCUUUUUUUAAUUUUUUCUUUUAUAAAAAACUCCUAUUGAAAAAAAUCUUUUUGAAAAUUUUGAAUUAUUAUUACUUGCUAAAGGAAACAAAAUUAAAAUCUUUUCGAUGUUUUUGAUUUUUUUUUGGAAAAUGGGUGCAAAAGGUAAAAGAUCUUUUUGAAUUUUUGAAUUAUGGAAAACAAAAAUCAUAAAGAACUCUAAAACUAUGAAACUCUUUUUUUUUUCUUCUAACUUCACCUAAACAUACUCUUACCCUUAAUUCUAGAACAUGCUUCCCCCGAAUCAGUAAGUUCAAUGACCCUAUUACCCUCAAAGAUGCAACAAUUAGCACGUAGGGAUGCUUUAGGGGUGAGUCUUCUAUGAUGUAGAUAAACAUGACCUAAAGGCUGACCUAGAUUGGGGUCCACUAGCAAGGCUGUUCGGGGGAGCAUAUGAUCGAUAGUGGCUGCGAUGGCUUUCCACCUACUCCAUACAUUCGGCGGCUCCCCCUCCUAAAAUAAGGGUGACUCAACUAGAGUUCGUGUACACGACGUGUACUCUGAGACUUGUUGCGAAAUAAUAGACUUGGGGUAAUGCAUAUGAUGCUAGAUAUAAAACGGUAACACAUAAGACAAAACUGUAAACACGUAGCACAUAAGGAUAUAACAAUGAUAAAACAAUAACACAAACAAAAUGUCUAUACACAUAUAGUGUCAAACUAAGCCGAUACAACUCAAAAAAUAAGCUCGGAUUCUGAAAAGUCCCCAGUAGAGUUGCCAGAGCUGUCACACCCCUUUUUUAUCACCCCCCCCCCCCCCACAGCUAUCUUUGUUUUCUAUAAAAGAGAUUGUUAUUAAGUGACAAAAUAAAACAAUUUGUUCCAAAAAAGAUUUAAAAAAUCAAAAUUCAGAGUCGCCAGUAGGCAUAAUCUGUGUGCCAAGUCACCUUUGGAAAUUCUUUUCAAAAUAUUUUUUUGACUCUUUUAAAACUGAUCCGUGAACAGAGAUUCUGGUUAAGGAAUUCUGUUGAUCGAGGAGAAGAUGUUAGGCACCCCUCAGUCACGUGGUUUGACCACGGUCGCUUAGUAGAGUAUAUCGCUAGUAUGGCACUAUGACAUGUAUAAACCAAAUAAAAUACACAACAAGAAACAAACAAAACCAAGAAUAGUGUCCAGUCCAAUUUAUUAUAAACCGAAAUAAAAAUGCUGAAAUUAAAACCUAAACUAUUCUAACUAUCCUACACCAUGCUUUACCCGAUGCCUCUGGCCUUGAUCACGAUCAUCCUUCUGAGUACAAAGUAUCGCGGAUCAUUCUCCGAUAACAAAUAUAAUUUUUCUCGGGGCAUUCCCCGGCCAAAUGAAUAUAAGGAAUUUAAAUGAGAUAAAAUAAAGAUCAUUCAACACAUUCGAAUGUUCAACAAUCCACAACCCUAAGUAUUUCCUAACCAACCUAAGAUUUGCCUAUUAAAUUUUGGUCUAAGGCAUGAUACUAUCAGAUUUGACAAAUUAACUCUUAUUUCAAAUCAAUCAAUUAAUCAACUCAAAACAAUAUGUAUUUUUAUCAAUUUCAAUCCCACCCCCAGUUUCAUCUUCAAUCAUUGAUUAAACAAGUCUCAAUUAUUAAUUCAAGCUUUCCCUUUCGAGUUUUAAAAUUCAAAUCAAACAUCAAUGGCAUACACAUCACAAAAAAUCAAAACAUGCUUACACACCGGUCAUUCACACCCAUAAACAAUUAAAAUUCAAGAUAAAAAUAAAGAACGAGAGUAAGAAAUGGACUUCAAUUGGAGCUUUCAUUAUAUCAAAAAUAGAACUGCCUUCAGAAAACCUGAUAUAAACCUCAAUAACGAACUCCACAGGGACCUCAAUAUACUUCCUCGAUUUUGUUUUCUGCCAACUUGAAUAAAAAUAUGAACAAACAAUAAACCGUACUAUAUUUGUGCAAAAUGUCCCCAUUUCACUCAUUUACCGAAAGAUUCCAACGAAAUCAGAUCGAAACGGUUUGAGUUCAUUCAAUUUUCCAGCUGUUGGGUCAUGGGAGCUCCGGUUAAGAGUGUUUUUUAGUGGUUUUAGGUACGGUUUGGUUGGCUUUCUUCGAUGGAUCGACGGAGCUAUUUUGGGAGUGGGUUUGAUCGGCGCCGGUGAUGGAUUUACCACCAAAACAGUGAUCCCCGCUGGCUAUUUAUCUCUUCUCUCUCACCAGUUUCUCUCCAUAUUCUGCCUAUGUCUCUUUCUCGUCUUUUACCCUCUAUUUUCAAUCACUCUCCAUCUACUCCACUCUUUUUUUUUGUUUUUGCCCACUAUGUGUGUAUGUCUAUAUCCGAUUAUGGGUAUGUGAGUCCAUAUCAAUGAGGAGUGUGUGUAUGGUGAGUAAUAUGAGGUAUGUCUAUUUUUUCGGCCUAUGGCGGUGUGUAUAUGUAUUGUGUGUGCUUGCUUGUGGGAAUUUCCCGUGCGUUCCUUUUUUUUUUUGCAAUUAUGUUAAAGUUGUUAAUUUAAGGAUGAAAAAUAUGAUGGGGUAGGGGGUUGGGUAGGGUAGUGAGGUGGGUAUGAGUGUGAGUGGUUAGGAUAAGGUGGGGUGGUUAAAUUUGAUUGGGUGGGGUAUUAAUUUGUUGAAAAUUUUAUUAAUUUUUUGUCAUUUUGUGGAGGAAAAAUUAUGGAACGGUGUAGGGUGUACAGUAAGGAGAAUUAAAUAGGUAAAAUUGACAUUUCUGAGGGACAGAAUUACGUAUCUACAAUUGUUUAAAAAAUCAACUCUCUUGGACUUCUCAAAUGUUUAUGUAUAAUCUUUUCAGUAAGACAUUCUCACAUGUCGUUAUUUCAAUGAUGGAGAAAAAACCUAGCUAGCUUUUGCCAAUCAAGUUGUACAAUGUUGCCCUAUGUGGCCUAAUCUUGUAUGCCAUGUAAUAACAUCAUUAUUACUAAAAUAACAUGGCAGAAUACAAGAGUCAACAUGAUAGUCAUAAAUCAAAGGAUUAUAAUCUAGAACGAUAGAACUACCAUGACAAAAUUCAAAACCAUAAAACCAUUGUCUAAACUAAUUCUAACACCAUUAUGACUAAAACUUAUCUAGAAGAACAGAAGUCUUAUAAAAAUCUCUGUUUAAAUCAAAGACCAUCCACCAUGCAAAUCCAUUUUGCAAGUGUCUAUCCAUUUGACUUCAAACUUUGCAUUAUUUCCUACAUGUAUCAUCUUGAUCUAGGUGACACUCAACGAAACCAUAGAAAUGCUUCUUGAUCACAACUCACAUAGUCGAUGGCCCUUAAGUAUACAAUCCACAUAGUAAGUGUCAACAUAUUUUCUAUUAGACAGUGUUACCCGUUUCUGGGUGACUCAAAGCAUGGUUAAUACCUUCAAGAGUGUUGCUCCUCAGUAUAUACCAUAUCUUAUGACUCAAGAUGUCUUGUAAUUCCCUUGUUUAAGUUAGAAAUGAUGUUUUUUGCUACCAUGUUUGUUAUAUGAGACAAACACGUUCUACUCAGCAAUAAUGCAUGUGAUAUAUACACCAAGCAAAUUAAUUCUCAUAAUAAUUUCAUACUUAGUGUAGAAUCAAAAAGUCACAUAGUUUCAAUUGCUAUCUACAAUCUAAAUGUUUAAUCAAAAUUCAAAUAUUUUUAUUGCAUAUUCUAUUAAUGACUUUAACUUAAGUUUGAACCAGUUAUAAAAAAUAAACAAGAUAAGGGAAAUGAGAGAAAAUCAACAUAAUUACCCUAAAAGGCUAACUUGGUUAAUCCUCAUGAUAAAAAUUAGCUAAUUAUCACCUCCAAGGUUGUCAUAGAGGAUCUGCUAAAAUUGUCUAAAGCUUCUCAAUCCGAGAUUUUAAUAAAAUUACUCGAUUCAACUCAUAUUAAUUGAAAAAGGUGAACAUAUUUAUGUAUCGUAUGCUCGUAGAAUUAGAAUACAUCUUAAAGGUUUUAAACUAUAUGAGUUUUUUCUCUCCUUCUUUUCAUACAACCCUUUGAUCCCUUAACAAAUAUUGGCUGAAAACAACCCAACAUCAUCUCAAAUGGUGGAGAGGUCGUACCUUUCAUCGAAAAUGUACCUUAUGCAACGAGGCACGGACAACGUCUCCUCGUCUUCCUCUUCUUUACUCUCACUUCCCCGUGCGAAGUGUCUAUGACUACGCUGCCUAGAAGUUCCUUCAUCAAAUGAUUCCAUUCUUUUUUACUCUUCUACUUCUGCUUCAACUCAUUUCCUUUUCGAAGCCCUCAAGGCUUUUUCUGUUGCUCUCUUUUUACUGUACGUGCUUUGUUAUGCACCUCUACCUCUAACCAUAAAUUUUAGAUGAGCAACAAUAGACCAAACAGCCUAGGAGUUAAAAGUGUAACCACUUGCAGCAACAGAAAAGAUAAAAUAAAGAAUUAAAAAUAGUCAAAAUAAGGUGUGUUUGGUAUGAAGGAAAAUAUUUUUCGUGAAAAAUAUUUUCCUAGAAAAUGUUUUCAUGAAAAACAAGUUGGUUUCUUACUUAUUUUCUUAUAUUUUGUUGGUGAAUGGAAAAUAUUUUCUAGUGUUUGGCUGAUGAAUGAAAAAAUAUUUUUCAGAAAAUACAUUUUAGUGUUUAGCUAAAGAGUGGCAAAUACUUUUCAAAAAAAUUAUUUUUGAUCUUGGAAAAUACUUUUUUUAGGGUGUGUUCUAUAUGGAGGAGGAAAAUAUUUUCAAAAAAUAAGUUAUUUUUUACUUAUAUUCUUGCGUUCAUUAUGGAAGUAGAAAAAUAUUUUCUAAAAGCAUUUGUAUAUAUUUAACAAAAAAUAAUGGGAACGAAUAGGGUAAGAAGGGUAGGAUAAGAAAAAAGUUUUAAAAAUUUACAAAAAUUUUCUUACCCCCUCCCCCUAACCAGCCCCCUCCAUAAUCUAUUGCAUGCAGAAAUGAAUAAUAACAGGGAUGAUUUGUUCAUCUUUAGUCUAAAUGAAAAAAUAUUACAUUUUAGCAAGAGAGAAUUUUAUAUAAUCUGUGAAAUGUGAUAAUAAGACUGAUUUUAUUUUUAAUUCGGGAAUCAAAAAUAAAUUAAUAAAUAGGUAUUAUUCGGAUCUGAAAAAAGUUAGGAGGUUGAAUUUUUAUGUUGAUUUUGUUGAUAAUGAUGUUGUUUUUUGAGAAGAAAAUUUUUACAAUAUUAAAAUUUUAUAGUUCAUAAUCAGAUUUCUCAAAUCAGAUUUAUCAAGAAAAUGAACAACAAAGUAUCAUUAAAACUUAGUAGAUCUCGUCAAUACUUGAAAUAUUAUUGGAACAAUGAGUGUUUCAAAGAUCUACAAAAACCGUGUAGCCAUGAUUUGAAAACGAACCCAUCAUCUCUUACAUUUUGGUGGCUUUCAUCUGGCACUUUAAAUUUUAUUUUAUGAAUGUUGUCUGAACAUUAAUAAGUCUAUUGUUGCUCAUGUUAGCUUCUGAACUCCUCAAAUUUUAAAAUGUAAGUCAUCUAAAGACCUCAUUUAUAAUAACCAUUUGCAGACUACAAUGUUCAAGCGUUACAAUAACGACGUAAUAGUUACCUUUUUGCAAUUAUAUAUAUAUAUAUUUUUUUAAUAUUUUGCAAUAUGCCACAAGUUUAGAUAUAUUUAUGUAUGUUAUUGAUAUGCACUAAUAUUGUUAGAUUUUUCAUUAUAAUUGUAAUUGUUAAAUUUUUUACUUAAGUUUUAUUUAUAGGGUUAAAAUUGUUUAUGCCCCCGAACUUUGUUGUAAGAAUCUAAUACCCACUCAACUUUGAAUAGUAAUUAUUCUCCCUCCUUUUUCCUAGUUGAUUUUUUCAAAAUACCUACUUUUCCCUUGUAUUUAUAUCAACAUUUGAAUUUAAAAAAAAAAAACUUUUUAAUAAACACAAUUUUUAUUUUUGAAUCUAUAUAACAUAUUUUCUAUAAAAAGCUAAAAGUUAUUUUUUAGAUAAAAAAUAAAAGUGAUAAAUAUUAAUUGAGUAUAUAAGUUAAUGACAUUCUAUAACGAAAUAAAUGAGUAAAAUAAUAAAAAUUAAUUUUAUUCAAAAUAAAAAUUCUAACAUCUAUUUAUACGUAAAAAUAAUAGGUAUUAUAUUUUUAUAAAUAUAUUUCAAUAUAGGUAAUACAAAUUAAUUAAUAUUUGAGGGUCCUUCGAAAAUAACUUCUCUACCUCCCCGAGCUAGUGGUAAGGUUUGCGUACUCCUACCCUCCUCAUACCUCACUUAGGGAAUUUCAUUGGGUACGGUGUUGUUGUAGAUCUAUAUUUAUUACAAAUCAAAUGAUUAUUGCUAAUGAAUUUUAAAUUAUAAUUUAGAAAAUAAUUCAUAGUGACAGCCAAAACUCGUUUAUCUGUAUAAAUAUUAAAAAAAAUAGAGAAUCAAAAUAUCCAUCUAUAUACAUAAUUAUAUAUACACACAUACAUACUUAAUACUUAUAACAUAAAAAUUUUGAAUGUAAAAAAUACCAUUAGAUUUUGUAAUUAAUUUAUAAAAUAAUUAACUAAUAAUGUAAAUGAAUUUAAAUAAAAAUUAUAAAUACCUCGAUUAUGAAAGAUAAAUAUAUAUAAUAUAAAAAAUAUUAUAUAAACGGGAGAUUAAAAUUAUUAAGGGUAAAAUAGGCAUUACAUAGUGAAAAAAGGGGGAGAAUGAUUGAAAUCCCUUAAGUGAGGUAUGAGGAGGGUAGGGGGUAUGCAAACCUUACCACUACCUUGGGACAUUGAGAAGUUAUUUUCGAAGGACCCUCGACUAUUAAUUAAUUUGUAUUACCUACAUUGAAAUAUAUUUAUAAAAAUAUAAUUACCUAUUAUUUUCACGUAUAAACAGAUAUUAGAAUUUUUAUUUUUAAUAAAAAUAAUUUUUAUUACUUUACUCAUUUAUUUCGUUAUAGAAUGUCAUUAACUUAUAUACUCAAUUAAUAUUUCUCACUUUUAUUUUUUCAUCUAAAAAAUAACUUUUAGCGUUUUAUAGAAAAUAUGUUAUAUAGAUUAAAAAAAUAAAAAAUGUGUGUAUAAAAGUUUUUUUAAAAAAAAUAUUCAAAUGUUGAUAUAAAUACAAGGGUAAAGUAGGUAUUUAGAAAAAUCAAAUAGGAAAAGGGAGGGAGAAUGAUUAUUGUUCAAAGUUGAGGGGGUGUUUGAUUUUUACAACAAAAUUCGAGGGUGUAAACAAUUUUAACCCUUUAUUUAUAUGGUAGUAUGAAUUAAGAGAUCUUGUGUUUUUUUUUUUUUUGGAAACUUUCCAGGAAAAUCCGCAGCCGCUACACCCUCUGCCACAGCCUCUGUCGUUCGGGUGAGCACUCUGUGAUGAGCACUGUGUGCGCACUGGGUAAACCCCCCGAUGCAAUAGCCUGCAAACCACAUGGGGAUGUAAACCGCACUAGGCAAGCCCUGUGUGACAGGCUCAAACCCAGAAGGCAUUGAGGGGGGAAUCAAAGAGAUCUUGUGUUUAUCGAUGAAGAGAUGGUGGAAUUCAAUUUGUGAGCUAUUCAACAAGACAACUUCAAUCAACAAGAUCCUCAUAAUUCAGAACACUCUAAACCAGUUGUAAAUGAAGAUGCAUUCCUUGAAUUAAUGAAUGAAAUAACUAAUGUAUAUUCUCAAUGUUGACACCUAAUUUUUGCGCUCCAUGAGUAAGUUUAAUUUUGAGUUUCUUCAAUUCUAAAUAAAAUUAAAUUAAUAAUUUAUUAAAAUAAGAGUAUACAUAAUAAAAUUAACAAUAUCAUAGCCAAAAAAGUUAAACAAAAUAUAUAUUUUAGAAUAAUAUUUAUUUUAUAUAAAUAACUGACUUUCUCUAGUAACUUAAAGUAAAGUAUAUCCUUAUUAAAAUUUUUACUAGACAAUUUUCUUUGUUAUAUUAAUUUGAUUUGGUACAUCUAUUAUAUUCAUUAAUUACAUAAUACUGUAGUAGCCUUUGUAAAAAAUAAAAAUAAAAAAGUAUACAGUUUUGUAUAUUGGGUGAAGGAAAGUUUACCAAAAAAAAAAACGUAAAGGAAAACAUAAAGUCCAACAAAGUUGGGUAAAGCGAAUAUUUCUUGGUGUCAAACAUUUUCAAUUGUUUUCAAAGUGGCAAAUUAGUAACUUCGAAUUUCUUUUGCCUUGUAGUAAAUAUAAGUGAUUCACAGCAUAUAUUUACUGACUUUGAAAAUUUUGAAUUAAAAAAAUGUCUUGAAAAUUUUAUAUUUUUUGGACCAUUAAUUGAAGUAAAAAUUAUGGAGUUUUUGUAAGUUCUGAUGAACAAAAUUUUUAGGCCAUUCAACUUAUUAUUAGUGACAUUUUUACGUUUUGUUCAUUUUACAAAAAAAUAAGAUAUAUGUAUAUAUCACCAGUAUCCGAAGCUUCCACUAAUAAAGAGUAUUUCGUGAAUGGUGUGCGUUCUAUUUAUUUUUUAAAAAAAUAAAAAUCUUUCUUUACCUAUAAAAAUCAACAAGAUCGGUAAAUUGUAAUAUCUUAAAUUCAUCUUUUUAGGAGAUCAGUAUUACUUAAAAUUAAUUAAAAAUAAUAUAAGACUAACUUCGUGAAGUCAAAUUUUUUCCGUCUUAGGUUUUAUCAGUCUCUAAUUUGAGGUUGAUUUCAUUGUUUUCUUUCUUCUUUUCUAAUAGUGAGUUUCACGAAUGAGGUAAUAUCUACGUAAGAGAACUUUUUUCUACCUCAGUCAUUUGGUAGUAAAUCAUGAAAUAAGGAUAAUAUUUUUUAAACAAAAUUUUGGAAUUAUUGAUUUUAGCUCAUUUGAAAUAUUUCAAAAUUAUUUUGUCUCAUUAUUUAUAUUAAAAUAAUAAAAUAACUAUAUAUAUAAAAAAUAAAAUACUAACAUGAAAUAUCCUGUUUCUAUUUUUACAUCCCUCAAGGCCAAACCUGCACAUGCCAUUGUAUUUGUAUAACACGAGAUAAAUUUUCUCACGUUAUUGCUUUUUAAUUUGGAAUGUAGCGCUUUAAUCAUGUUGAUAGAAUUUGUAGAAGUUCCUGAACAUCUCAAAUCACAAUAUUAACUAAUAUUAUUAUUCAGACAAAUUUUAUACUAACUAAUUAAGUUAAAAUUUUGAUGAAAUAUCUUUUACAUAAAAGUAAAAGAUAGUAAUUGAGAAAUAAAAAUUUGGGUUAUUAAAGGAUUUUUUGCGAUUAUUUCUAGUAUGAAAUGAGUCAAUCAUCUACUUUGGUAUUUUAUUAAACAAAAAUGGUAAAAUUAUUCCUUUAUUGAUCAAGAAUUUCAGUGUUGCUGACUUAACAUUUAGGUUUUGACAUGACAGAGUUUACACUAUUUUUUCGCACUUAGGCACACAGCAUGCCAUUGGUAAUAAUUUUAUUCAUGAAUUAAAUCGGGAUGGCUGGUGAUUUCGAGAUCUGUUUUCCCAUGUGUUAAGCAUAUUAAUUUUUUUUAAUAUAUGAUUGGCUACAAACAAUUUUGUUUUUCAGUGAACUAUUUUCUUUCACUGCCACUCAACUAAAUCAAUCAGUUUAAUACUUUAAAUACUUACAUGGCCAUUCAAGUUUGGGUCAUAAUAAAAAGGAUGGAACACGAUGAGUAGUUCAGUAAAUAAAAUACUUCAAAAAAAUUAAAAUGAAAUAUUUUCCUUCCCUACAUUUAUUACUUUUUCGGUCUUAAAUUAUCUACUUUGAUUCUCUUUUACAAUAUGUAUCUUGAGAAAUAUUAACUAAAAGAUUUUUUUAACUAUUUUAUCCUUCAUUGUUGUUUGAACAAUCAUAACAUUACUUAUAAUAAACGUGUUUAAUUUGUAGUCUUCAAGAAGAAUAGCUACUAAGGAUAAAAUGAAUGAAAUUUAAACUUUAAAAAGACAAAUAAUUUGAGACAAUUAAUUUUAAAAGUCAUGAUAAAUAAUUUGAAGCGAUGCAAGUUAUUAAUUUCUCAAUGAGCUUUGAAAUAGAUGUAUUACUUCAAUUUGUUGCCUUAACUAACUAGUAUUCUCACUUAAACUAAGUUGCAAUCCAAUAGCUCUGGAUAACUAAUGCAUUAAGAUACAUGCAAGCUUCUCCUAAUCCAAAAAAAAAUUGUUUUAAAGUAACAAAAAUAGCGUCAUUUGUGACAUCAAAAGCAACAACUACUAUAUUAAAGCAAAAUAUUAUACACACUAUUAUUAUCCUGGUCGUUGAAGGAAAGUAAAACUGACAGUCAAUUAGGUUAAGUUUUUGUUUUCAUGAAAACGAAUAUUUCCUUUCCAAUCCAAAAAAAGAAAAGUGUUUACAUAAAUUCACACUAGUAUAACCCAAAAUAGGUAGUAUUGCAUUUCAAUGUCAAACAUAUUUCUGUACCAAGGGAACACGUUUGGAAGACUAUUUGACUUUCUUACUUCAAAUUAUGUGAUACUCCAUCCUUCUCAUUUUGAGUUGACAUCAAAUUUUAAAAAUUACAAAAAAAUUUUAAUCUACAACUAAAAAUAUGUAAAAUUUAUUUAUCAAAAUAUGUUUUAAUCUUAUCAUCUGAAACAUAUCAUAUAAAAAAUUAUAAUUAAAAUUUUUUUAAAAAUAUAUAUAGAUUUUUAAAUAGAUUAAAAAAAAUAAUACAACCAACUUGAAAAGGAGGGAGUAUGUAAUUCAUUUUGAAAGCAUAGAGAAAUAUAUAUUAAGAUAAAAGAUAGUCUUGGAGUUACUAGUUCAAGCAGUGAAGACAACUUCUUACAGAAAUAUCGAAUAAGACUACAUAUAAUAAAUUUUUAUGAUUCAAUUCUUUUUUAAUUCCACACAUAUCAAAUAUUUUAAUACAUGAAACUGCCUUUUUAUAAAAAAUCAAAUAGUACUCUAUUGUGCAUUUUGUUCUUACGACAAAUAAAAAAAACAACGUAAAAAUAUAUAUAUAUAUAUAUAUAUAUAUAUUAUAUGGUUCACCAACAUAUAUACUAGUAAAAGAUUGAUUUUGCCUUUGAUUUCCACAAAAAUUGGGUAAAUUAAUUGGUAAGAAAAUGACGGUCGCCGUUCACGUGAUUUAGUUUCCUAUAUAAAUAGCUGCUCUCUUGCUGCCACUUCUACCACUUGCCUAUUAUCCCAAAAAUCAUACAACAUAUAUACUAGCAAAUAUAUAUUAUAUAUUAUCCACUGUUUGUCCUAUUGGCCAGCAGCCCAAUAUGACUUUUAUUAUGUGGACAACAUUUAUUUUGUCUGUAAUUGUAUUAUUCAUCUUCCAUAAGAUGGUAGAUCUGAAGAACAAGAAGAAAAAACUUCCUCCUAGUCCAAAAGGGAUUCCAAUAUUAGGACAUCUUCAUCUUUUAGGUGAUAAUCCUACUCAAGAUUUUCACAAAUUAUCUCUUAAACAUGGUCCUAUUAUGUACCUUAAAUUAGGAUUAUUACCAACUUAUGUUAUAUCUUCUCCUGAAUCAGCUGAAAAAAUCCUCAAAACUUAUGAUCAUGUUUUUGCUAGUAGGCCUCAUAAUGAGACGGCCCAAUACAUCUCGUAUGGCCAAAGAAAUUUGAUUUUUUCAAAGUAUGGCGCGUACUGGCGUAACAUGAAAAAAUUAUGCACGGUUCACUUGCUGAGUAACAUGAAGAUUAACUCAUAUCGAUCUACUAGAAGUGAAGAAAUUGACCUUAUGAUCAAAUCGAUCAAAGAUGUAGCUCAAGGUCGUCAUGGUCGUGUUGCUGAUGUUGUUGACCUUAGUGCUCAAGUUUCCUCAUUGAGUGCCAACUUGAGUUGCUUGAUGGUUUUUGGUAAAAAGUUCGUGGAUGAGGAUUUGGGCAAAAGGGUUAGUUUUAAAUCUUUAGUUCAAGAGGUUACACAACUUGCUGCAACACCAAAUCUUGGAGAUGUUUUCCCUUUUCUUGGUGUUAUUGACCUCCAAGGACUCACACGUCGCAUGAAGGACACUGCUAAGGUGUUAGAUAAAUUUGUAGAGAAGAUUAUUGAUGAACAUGAUCAUGAUGUAGACCACAAGAAAAAUAAGGACUUUGUAGACACUAUGAUGGCCAUCAUGCAAUCCGGAGAAGCAGAGUUCCAGUUUGAUCGUCGCCAUGUCAAAGCUGUCCUGUUGGUAUAUAUAUAUAUGUUCAUUUCCAAAUUGAUAUAGUAUAUAAUUAGAUACUGCUUCCAUUUUAAGGAAUAUAUUUGACUGGGUAUAAAAUUUAAGAGAACAAGAACACUUUUGAAACUCAUCUUCUAAAACAAGUUACUCCAUCCGUUUAAAAAGAAUGAUUUACUUUAUUUUUUAGUCCGUUUUAAAAAGAAUAACUUCUUUCCCUUUUUAGUAACUUUUUAAUUCUAACUGUCCACAUGACAUGUUUAAUAAGACCAUAAAAUUAAAGAAGAUUGUGUUACAUUUGUCGUAUCUUUAAUUUAAGACCACAAGUCUUAAAAGUCUUCUUUAUUUUAUUAAACUCUGUAUCUAAUCAAACUAGAUCAUUCUUUUUUAAAUGGAGGAAGUAUUUAAUUUUUCAUGACUAUAAAUCAUUUUCUUAAGCUUAAAAUAAGAAGUUCAAAAUUAAGUUGUUGCUGAAUAUGAAAGAUAUCACUUUAAUUUGCCAAAUCAUGCAAAAUAAGUUGUUUCAAAAAACAAAGAAUUUCACGUAAGUUAUUGAGACAAAAGAAAUACCAAUAUAAUCCACAACUCUAUAUGUCACUUCGAAAAUUAAUUGCAGUCAGCUACCUGUUUUAUAUAAUCUUGUGUCUAAAUGACUCAAUAUCUCUAGAUGAUUCAUCAUAAUUAAAUUAUUAUUAUGAAGACCAUCAGCUUAAUUACCUUUAACUCGUCUUCUUUAUCCAGACUUGGAAGAAACAAUGCUUUGCCAAGUUGAGUAACAAACUUAAUGCAUGGUACUAAUUAAUAGUAUUUCUUUUGUUAAACUCAGGAUAUGCUUGUGGCAUCAAUAGAUACAUCAUCAAGUUCAAUUGAAUGGAUGCUCUCAGAACUUCUCAAGAAUCCUGAUAUAAUGAAGAAACUCCAAAAAGAGUUGGAACAAGUAGUAGGCCUAAAUAGAAUGGUAGAAGAAUCAGACUUGGAAAACUUGAAAUACCUAAACAUGGUAUUUAAAGAAUCAUUUAGGCUACAUGCUGCUGCCCCAUUACUACUUCAUGAAGCGAUGGAAGAUUGUAUGGUAGAUGAUUUCUAUAUAAAAAAAGGAUCACAAGUCAUUGUCAAUGCAUACACAGUUCAUAGGGAUCCUAACUAUUGGCCUGAAGCUGAGAAGUUCUCCCCAGAGAGGUUUCUUCAAAGUAACAUAGAUGUUCGUGGACGUGAUUUUCAACUUUUACCGUUUGGCUCUGGCAGAAGAAGUUGCCCCGGGAUGCAAUUGGCAUUAAUUAUUGUUCGUCUUGUGGUGGCACAAUUGGUUCAUUGCUUUGAUUGGAAGCUCCCAAAUGACAUGCAGCCUAAGGAUUUGGACAUGACUGAGCAUUUUGGUAUAGUGAUUGGCAGAGCUAAUCAUUUGAUGGCUGUUCCAACUUACAGGCUACAACACAAAUGAUUUUGGGAAAUUGAUUUUGAUAUGAUACAUCUAGUUAUAUACAUGACGUUUGACCUUGGAUAAUAAAGUUUCUUUAAUUUACUGCUUUUGAUUUAAGUACUUUUGUGUAUGCACUUGUACUAGUAUAAUAUGUUGAGUACUGUUUUUACCUUUACUUAAAAAAAACCUUAGUAAUUGUAUUGAAUGACAAUGCUAGUCCUAUAAUUAGUUAAAGACUACUUUUUUGCCAUCUUCGUCAUCAUAUUAAUCUUUUUCUAUUCUUCUCUUAAAAAAUUAUUACCCCUAAAUUUAUAACGACCAUUUUUUUAUUGAAAAAAAAUUAUAUUUCGUACAAUUUUAAUUAUUAAUUUCCUAGAUUAUACUACAAAAGUAUGAUUUAUGCGUACAAAAAGAGAAAGAUAAGAAAAAUGAAAAGGGGAGGAAAAGAAAUUAAUUUAGGGGAUAAUUAUAAAAGGCUCAUUAAAGGGAUACUUUUUAUUUUUCAGAAUUUUGUUUUUAAAUAGAAAUUCUACAUAAGUAAAUUUUAUUAAAAAAUAUAAUUAAAUAGAUUAAGUGACUUUCUGAGUAAAAAUAUAGUAGUUGACCAAUAAAGAUCAAAAUUGAGUGACUUUUCAGAAUAAAAAUAUUUAUAAUUGACAGACCGAUUGAGUUAUUAAUUCUAUUACUCAUGCUUUUUGAUGUUCUUGGUUACCUACCUCUUAAGAAAGAUACUUCUUCGAUUUUAAUUUGUAUUUCUCAUUUUUCUUCUUUGAAAAAAAAUAUCUCUUUUUUUUUUAAUAACUCUUUAGUCUCAAAUUUUCACAAUGUCAUGUUUAAUUAAGACAAUAAGAUUAAAGAGAUUUUGAUACAUCAUGUAUCUUUAAUUUAAGAAAACAAGAUUCAAAAGUUUUUUUUUUUUUUACUUUUUAAAACUUCAUGUCAAGUCAAAAUUAAAUAAAUAAAUAAAUAAAUUAAAAUAAAGUAUUUAAUAACCUUAAUAUUACGAGUAUUUGUCUAAAUUAUUCUUAUCCCGCUUAACAUAUCAUCAAUUGCUAAUUGGAAGUUGGAACAGCUCAAACAAUUCUUUUUUUAAAAGUAAUAGUUACUUUUUCUUUUUCUACUGCUAUAAGUACAAAGACGUAUAACCAAAUUAAAGAUAAAAAAUUGUCAAGUUGCAUAUUAGUAGACAAAUAGAGGUCCGUCUAUGAAUAGACUACACAAAAUUACAAAGGCAUAAACAGAAAAUCAAUAAAAAAUUUACAUUAUGUGCAUUUCUCAGCCAUUAAACUUUCUCCAUGUUUAUAGUAUUAAACACGAGAAUGAAUCGUGGUACAUAUUUUUAUUUAACAAAGAGAGGACGCAGAAUGAAGUAAAUGGAGGAAUUAAAUUUCAUGAGUUCUACCUUUAAGAUUUUUAGAAUCUUAUUAUAUCUUAAAGUUAUGAUUCAUACCAACUUUUUAUUAUUACUAGUCAAGUAUACGUGCUUUGCACGAUGUCUCACGUUAAUUAAUAUUAUGUGUAUGUUAUAAUAUUAAGUACACAAUUUUUAAAUUGUGUGCUAUGUAGAGCGUAAAAUAUUUGUUGUAAGUAAUGAUGCUAUUAUUCAUCAUUUUCAAAACAUAAAAAAUCGUUGAGCACAGUUAUGAUUGGUGUCCUAAGAUUAGAAGUCUUUUUCUGAAUUCAGACUUAUGAACUAAAGUAUUUUGUUUGAAACUUGUUACUGGAAGCCUUUUUUGGUAAUGGUAAUAUUAAUUGUACUUUUAUUUAAUG
rnacentral:lncRNA from 1 species